rnacentral:lncRNA from 1 species
UCCCUUUUCCCUCCGAGGCUGAGCCCGAAAUCGAUGUUCAACUGCCAUGUACGCCUCUCUUGAAGUAUGAUGAAGUCGCUAGUUUCCUGUACCCGACCACUCCAUAUCCUUUCCUGAGGAGAGCCAUCUUAGGCCAGUACAAGAACCUGGACAAGCCCUUCUGUAUAUUGAUGGAUACAUUCCAAGAGCUGGAACCCGAAGUCAUCAAAUACAUGUCCAAGAUCUGCCCAAUCAAGCCUGUAGGACCUCUAUACAAGAACCCCAAAGUGCCAAACGCCGCUGUCCGUGGCGACUUCAUGAAGGCCGACGACUGCAUCGAGUGGCUCGACUCCAAGCCUCCCUCCUCCGUCGUCUACAUCUCUUUUGGAAGCGUCGUGUACCUGAAACAAGACCAAGUCGACGAGAUCGCUUAUGGGCUCUUAAACUCCGGCGUGCAAUUCUUAUGGGUGAUGAAACCACCGCACAAAGACGCCGGCUUGGAACUCCUAGUUCUUCCAGAAGGGUUCUUGGAAAAGGCCGGCGACAAAGGCAAGAUGGUCCAGUGGAGCCCGCAAGAGCAAGUCUUAGCCCACCCCUCAGUCGCCUGUUUCGUGACCCACUGCGGUUGGAACUCGUCCAUGGAGGCUCUCAGCUCCGGCAUGCCGGUGGUGGCAUUUCCACAGUGGGGAGACCAAGUCACCGACGCCAAAUAUCUGGUGGACGUGUUCAAAGUUGGGGUGAGAAUGUGCAGAGGUGAGGCGGAAAACAAGCUCAUCACCCGGGACGAAGUGGAGAAGUGUCUGAUCGAGGCCACAACCGGUGAAAAGGCGGCGGAGCUGAAGCAAAACGCCAUGAAGUGGAAGAAGGCGGCGGAGGAGGCAGUUGCAGAGGGCGGCUCCUCGGAUCGGAAUCUUCAGGAGUUUGUUGAUGAAGUCAGUAGGAUGAGUAUGGUGCUGGUUUGCCAGUCAAACAAAAUUUGAAAGAGAAUGGUCAACGUCCUUAUGAUCAUAGGGUGUGUGGAAAUGUAUCUAAGUAUAAUUUUGCAGGAGUCACGAUGUAGCGUGAAAUAAGGUAAGUGAACCAUUGGGUAUUCCAUGUUCAAUUACCUACUUGUUUUACUCCUCUCCUAGAUAAAACGGUGUCGUCUCAUGGCACUAAGUACGUUUUCCUUAGUUUUGUCGCCCAUUAGUAUUAUUAUUAUUAUUAAACGAGGAUAAACGUAACACAAAUCAAAGUAGUAAAAAUAAAAUAUAUAUCACUUUAACAAAAUAUAUAUAAUGGGAAGGAUAAAUUAGAGAAAGUUGAGAAAAUGAAAGAUAAAUUUCUUUUUUAAGGUACAUAUUACAGGGGAAUGAGAAAUUCUUUUAUAAGUUUUUCAAAUAAUUUUCAUUAAUGAGUUUUAAUGGAAGUCAUAAAUAAUAUUUAAUUAACAUUCAUUAUCAUUAAUAUGGUGGCAUUCAUAACCUCAGUUAUAACAUUAUUAUUAUUAUUGCAAUCGUGUUUGCCUAAUAUAAAUAUAUUAAUAUUUUACAUUUAAAAAAAAAACAGAUCAUGUAUAUCUAACUAUAAAAAUAUGUUUAAAAUAAAACGAAAAUUUUCUUAUAAUGAAUCCCCUAGAGAAUAUGAUUUCUUUACCUGAUCUUGUAACCAAUCCCCCAAAGAAUAUUUGUGACAUCCAUUAGUUUGCAAUCUAGCUAGAUGGUGGAUUUGUUUGAAUCCAAAUCCUAAACGACUCAAUUCAGUCCAUCAGAUCGAAGAGGUCAUCGAGUUGGAUGAUUGGAUUGUCCUAUUUUCUUAAAAUAAACAUAAUAAAAGUUUGAAAAAAGUGUAUUCAUGGAUGAUUUAAUUUCUAUUCAACUUUCUAGGACUCAAUUAAUCAUACCUUUUUAUGAAUAAUUCAAAUCGUGAAUCUUGAUGUUGAAUGAAUUUGAAUAGUUUUAAAUCUUUAAACUUAGAAUUUUAAAAGAUUUCAAAGCUUUCAUUUUAAUCUUCCACAUUAUGAAUAAGUAGAAUUUAGGGAUGCAACUUAAGUGGGUUUACCCGACCCAACUUAGCAUUUGGAUGAGUUUGGGAAAUCAUUUUCAAUAUUUUAGUUGGGCUUAGGUCAGAUUUUUUUCAACUUGAACUCAAUUUGGAUUGGACUUAAGCUAAAGUUCAGACAACCUAAGCAAAAUCUAAACCAAAUUUAAGUUUUUUACUUUUUCUAAUGUAUAUUAUCCUAUAUAUUAAAGAUGUAUAAAUUUAUUUUUAUUUUAUCGUUGGUAUCUUGAACUUUUUUCCUAAUUGCUAUUAAUUUUUCAUAUAAAUAAAUAGAAAAAAAAAAGCUUAUAAAAAAUAUUACAUAUGAAUUUUGAAUUAUGCAACUUGAUCAAUCCAACUAAUCUCAAUUUAAUCUUACCAAUCUAAACUCAACUCAAGUUUAGAUAAAUGAGAUUGAUUGGAUUUGAGUUGAGUACUUUAUGUUAGAGGUCAAGUUGGGUUAGACUUAGGUUGAUUUGGGUUUAAGUUGAUUAUUUCUUAAUUUAGGUUGGGUUUAGGUUAACUUCAACCUAACCAAUCCAUCAAAGCUAUAACCCUAGUGGAAAAUGGGACAUUUAUUUGUUGAAUAAAAUAACGAGAAAAACAUCUUUUAGUUUUAAUAUGUGGAAAAAAAAAGUUAAAAAAUAGAAACUUAGUUAUUUAAAAUUUAAUUUAAUUUAAAAAUAUUUAAAAUUUUAUGAAUUCGAAUAUUAUUUCUUAAUAUAUUUCCCAAAAUACCAUUUUAAUUGGAUAGUAGCAAGUGGAUCCUAGGAAAACUCCCUAUAUCUCAUUCUAAAAAAUUCUAUGGAUUCUAGAAAAACCAAAAUUCUUAGAAAAGAAGGGUGAGAGGAGUUGGAAUCCUAUUUCAUAAUAUAAUGAAGAUUUUUUACUUUCAUACAUGAGAAAUUCUAAAUUUAAAAAGUUACUUUGAACCGAGUCAAAUUGGUAAUCUCAUAAAUAUAUAAUUUAUAUAUUAUAUAAAAAUUAAAAUUAGUUGAAGAAAUUAUAUAUAUGUUUCAUUUUUAUAUUUGAUAAGUCAAAUUAAAUGAUAAAAAAUAUAUAUAAAUGUAUUAAUAUUUUAAAUUUUCUUAAAUAGAAUAUGUAUAAUAAUUAAGUAAAAAGAUAUAUUUAAGAUGGAAAGAAAAUUAUAAUAUUUAAAUUUAUUUAUAUAUCUAUAUAUUUUAUUAUUUUAAAAAUUUAAAAAUUAUUAUAUUAAUUAAUUUAUAUUAUUUUCAUAUUUAUCAUUAUAUAAUUAUUAUGAAAAUAACAUGAAUGUAAAUAUUUUAUAUUUGUUUACUGGUUUUAUAUAAUAAACAUUUUAAAAAAUUAUUAAUACUAGUCUAUAUAUUAAAAUUUACUUUACCUUAUCCUUCUCUCACCUACUUUUUAAAAAUUUAUAACUUUUUUUAUUUCAUAUUUAUUCGGUUUAUAAAAUAAAGAUUCUUGUUGUUAAAUAAUUUUAUUGUGAAAUUUAUCUUUUUAAAUUAAAAUUUUUAUCCUUAUUUAUUUCAUGUAAUAAACAAAUAUUUUAAAUAAAAACUCUACUUCAAUUUAUUUAUGAGAAUUACAUUAAAUCAAAAUGCAUUUUAAUUGAUGGAUAUUGAAAUUGAUUCUUCUUAAAUUUUAGUUAUUUAAUAUAAUAAAAUUAGAAUUGAAAAAACCCAACUUCCUUAAUUCAUAAGAAUUAAUUUUUUAUUAAAUGGUUGAUAAAAAACUAAAACUAUUAUUAUAUAUUUAAAUUAUUAUUAUAUAUUUUUAAAUAAUAUUGAUAUAAAAAUAAAAAUGAAGAUAAAAUUAGAUAAUACAUUAUUUUUAUUUAUUAUAAAUUAUAUAUUUUAAUAAUAUAAAAUAUCAUUACUUAAUUAUUACUAAAUUUUGUCUGAUAUUCAAUCCUCCAAUAAGAAAACAGUUGCAAGUGUUUUCCAAUUCAAAUCAAUGGUCAUGAUUAAAUAUGUAAAUCUAAUAGUUAAAAUUUUAAUUUUAGUACACCAUAUACGAACCACAAAUUUUUCCAAUAAUUACUUUACAUUUUAUACGAUAGUUAAGAUAACUACUCUAAUGGGUAUUUUUGUCUAUUCAUAUUUUAUAUCUUUCUUAUCAAUUAUAUAAAUUAUAAUUGAGUGAUGUUAGCCCAUUAUGAACAAAUAGACUCCCUAAAGUACAAUUCUUGUCACAUCGAAAGAAUAUUCGCAACAUCCAUUGGCAUGCAAGCUAACAUCCAAAGCUUGUAAGCUAACAUUCAUUAGCUUUUGGAUUGGGAUCAAUCCAACUCAUAAACAGGUCGAUUCAGUCAAUUGAAUUGAGAAAGUUGUUGAGUGGAUGGUCUGAUCGAUUAGACUAACUAGUCCGAAAAAUACUAAAAGAUUUUUGUUUUCUAUUUUUUAACAAUAAACAUCAUAAAAGUUAGAAAAAAAAAAUGUGUUCUUGGAUGAUUUAGUUUCUAUUCAACUUAAUGGACUCAAGCAUUUGAACUUUUUAUUAAUCAUUGAAAUCUUCAGUCUAGAUCUGGAAUAAAUUUGAAUAAUUUUAAGAUGGUUCUGGUAUAUCUACACUGAGUUCGGUUAUAAAAUCCUGUUCUUCAGAAGUAAUAAAAGGGUUUGGAACAAUGAUGUGUUCUAAAGGUUUUACUCUCCAUAUAGACAUGGUUUUUGUUUCGCCAAUGAGAUGAAAUAAUUUAUUCCGGGUUGGUCUAAGAUCAUAGAUUUGAAAAGCUCUAAAGCGAGUAAAAAAUUCUGGAAAUUCAUCUGAACGGGUCAUUUCCCAUUCUGGUUCUUGUUGAGGGAUGAGUGGUUCUUUAUUAUGUUUUAUAUAUACAUGAUGAUAGGCUGGUACUACUGAUCCAUCGGUUUGAAAUAAAUGUGGAAUGGUUUCAAAAGAAAUAUCUAUAUAUUUUUCGGCUUUAAAAAGAUAAGUUAAAAUAUCUUUCAAUUUUUCUGGGAAAUUUUCAGGGAUUUGAGAUAUAUGGUUCAUAAAAACAUUUUUUAAAAUUCCCUGAUCCAUAAGUUGCGGUACUAAAUCAAAAUUUUCUUUAUUUACAACAGGCAUAUUUACAUAAGCUAAAUAUAUAACAAAGAAAAAUUCAGGGUCGUGAUAUGCCAUAUACCCUGUUUUUAUCCCGUCAUUUUUAGUUCUAAAAUGUUUAUACAAAAUUUCUUGAUUUUUAAACACUUUGUUAUAUUGGUUUUGUAGAAAAAAGGUUUUGACGAAAGAGUAGUUAUCAGCUCCAAUUAUAUUUUUAACAACAAGCCUUUCAUAUUGUUCAGUCAGAAGAGCUGAUUUCUUAAUUAAACUAAUUACUUCAGGUUGACUGUUUGAACAACUGGUUUGAUUGGUUGACACUAUACUGGUUUUCAAAUCUUCUAUCAGUUUUUCUUGAUUUUCUUAGAUUUUGAGGUUUUGAAAUUUUUGGGUUUCUAAAGCAAUUAGUUGGUUUUGAAGGUUUUGUAAAUGUUGGGCUAAAGCUGACACUGUUUUUCCAUAAGCAUAUUCUAAAUUUUGGUUUGGAAAACUUUGUGGUUUUAAAGACCAAAAAUUAUCUACAAUAACCUUAUGUUCUUCAAAAAGGUUUUGAGAAAAUAAAGAGUUAAACCUUAGGUUUGGAUUCAACACUUCGUUUAGACAUAUGGUUCCAUAUUGAAAGGUUCUAGCUUUUGUAGGUUUUCUUUGAGCCAUGUUCCUGUAAUCAUGAAAUCAAUCAUUAGUAUUAUCGACAUUAUUAAUUAUUUGUCUACUUAACCAGUCUGCUAAUAUAUUAUCUUUUCCUUUAAUAUGUUCAAAUUUAGGUUUGAAACCAAUUAAAGAGUUUUGAAACUUUAUCCAUCUUUUGGUGGACAGUUUUGAAGAAUUUUUGUUUUCAAAGAAUUUUUUAAUAUUCUCACAAUCGGUUCUUAAAGUAAAUUGUUCUUGGUUAAAAAAUAAUUGAAAUUUUUCUAAGACUAAUAUUAUUGCUUCAAUUUNNNNNNNNNNNNNNNNNNNNNNNNNNNNNNNNNNNNNNNNNNNNNNNNNNNNNNNNNNNNNNNNNNNNNNNNNNNNNNNNNNNNNNNNNNNNNNNNNNNNUGAAACCAAUUAAAGAGUUUUGAAACUUUAUCCAUCUUUUGGUGGACAGUUUUGAAGAAUUUUUGUUUUCAAAGAAUUUUUUAAUAUUCUCACAAUCGGUUCUUAAAGUAAAUUGUUCUUGGUUAAAAAAUAAUUGAAAUUUUUCUAAGACUAAUAUUAUUGCUUCAAUUUCUAAGUCUGUAGAGCUAAGGUUCUUUUGAUAAUCAUUAAAGGUUCCACUACAAUAUCUACAAAGUUUUUCUUCUCCUAUAUUAGUUACUGUUAAAAGUAUACCUCCCCAUCCUGUUUGACUAGCAUCGGUUUGGACUAUUUUAUAUUCAUUUUCUAAGGGUAAAUGUAAGGUUGGGAGAUGUUUUACAAGUUCUUUUAUUUUCUGUAUAAGUUUAAUAUCUUCUUGGUUAAAAUAUCUCUGCCCUGUGUUUUUUGUUUUACUAUAAAGGAGUCCAGCUAAUCUACUAAGGUUUUUAAUAUAUGGCCUAGCAUAAUUUAAUAAUCCUAAAAAACUUUGAAGGGUUUUUAAAUCUUCGAGUUUGUCUGGAAAAUUAUUUAUUUUUUACACUAUAUGUUCUUGUAAUUUUAUUUGUCCAUCUUCUAAUUCUAAUCCUAAGAAUUCUAUUUGAAUCUUAAAUAAUUUCAAUUUCUUUUUACUUACUAUUAAACCAUGACUAAUUAAUUUUUCAAAAAUUAAUUCUAAAUGCUUUAUGUGUUCUUGAAGAGUAUAUGAAAAAACAAGAAUAUCAUCAAUAUAUACAAGAACAAAAGAAUAUUUUCCAAAAAUAUUAUCCAUCAUUCGUUGGAAUAUCUGAGGAGCAUUUUUUAGUCCAAAUGGCAUUACAUUCCAUUCAUAUAAUCCACAAGGACAUGAAAACGCUGUCCAUGGUUUACUAUCCUCUUCUAAUCUGAUUUGCCAAAAUCCACUUUUACAGUCUAACUGAGAAAAAUAUUUACAUCCUUGAAUAGAAUUAAUUAAAGAAUCUUUGUUCGGAAUUUUAUAGACAUCAUCAUAUGUAUUAUCAUUCAAUCUUUUAUAAUUAAUAACCAUCCUAGCUUUUCCUUAUUUUUCUUCAUUAUGGUUCCUAACUAAAAAGGCUGAGGAUCUAUGAGGACUGAAACCUUUUAUGUUAUUUUAUUAGGUGUUUGAAAAUUUUAUGUUAUUUUAAUAAGUCUUUGUAAAAUUUUAUAUUAUUUUAAUACUAGUAAUAAAUGUGUUCACACUUUAAUUCAAUAAAAAACCUUAAUCAAACUCUCAUUGCUAACGGAGAUUUUAAGAACCUUUACUAACAAACUGUUGUUGAAACUGCUUAUUGGGAAAAGUGACUGGUGAUGGGAAAAGUUGGUAUCAGAGCUUCUCUCUGUGUAUUGCAGUAUAUUAAUUAGGAAAGGAGACUUUAGAUUCAAAUUGAUUUUCAGAGUACCGAACUUUACUUUACCCCAUAUAAAGUCUGAUUAAUUUUGCUUAAUUUAUUCUGAAUCUUUAUUUGCUCUGCUUACUUAACAUGAAUUAGGAAUUAAUGUCUUUUAUUCCUUAUCCUCCUGGUAUAUAUAAUAUAGAUUAUGAUCGUGUAAAAGAACUUAAUAAUAGGUUGUAUUCUCAAUGUAAAGAAUUUAGAGAAACUUGUGAUAAAUUACAUAAUUUAAGAACUACUGUAAAAGAUUUAACCACAGAUAUUAAAAACUUAACUUCUCUUAAAUAUUUGAAUGAAUAUGAAGUAGCUAUACAAGAAGCUUUUGAUGAACUUUUUGCUACCGAAACCAUAAUUAGAAGAGAAAUUAUAAAAUAUUAUAUUGAUAAUUUAUAUGCUAGCUCAUCUAAUUAAAACCUAUUAGAGAUAAUGAACCCUCAUCUACAAACCCAAGAGGUAAAGCAGUUAAAAUUUUUAGUAGAGACACAAUUAAAAAUAACAAACGAAGUAUUACAAGAACAAAUUCAGAAAGAAAACCAAAACAAUAUAGAUAUUUUAAAAGAAAUCCAGAAAAGAUAAAUAAAAUCUGUAGAAAAACUAAACACGGUCUUAGGAAUUAGAAAAGAAGCUGGAAGACUUUAAGAACCAUAAUUUGCUAAGAAAUAACCUAGAUUAUAUUAAAGAACAAUUAGUUAGAGAAGAAAAAUUUGUUAGAAAAGAAAUAGAACAAAUAAAACUAGAACAACAAAAUUUAAAAGAAACUUUAGAAAAAAAUUAACCAAAAAGUAGAUAAACUUUUAGAACAAAGAAAUAUAGUAAUAUCAGAGGAACAAAAAUUAAAUAACCUUUUAAAACAAUUUGAAAACUUUAAUUUAGGAGAAAAACCAAUAAUUAAAAUAGAAAGAAAAAUAAAUCCUUUUGAACCAAAAAAUCUAGCAAUAAAACCAUGGAAAUAGUAGAAGCAAUAAACCCUCGAGAUAAUGUAAAAGAAUUUAUUGAAGAAAAAUUAAAAAAGGCAGUAAAGGAAGUAACACCUUACAAAAAACAAUUAGUUCAAAAUUAUAAAAUAACUAGAUUUUUAAAUCAACAUACUAUANNNNNNNNNNNNNNNNNNNNNNNNNNNNNNNNNNNNNNNNNNNNNNNNNNNNNNNNNNNNNNNNNNNNNNNNNNNNNNNNNNNNNNNNNNNNNNNNNNNNNNNNNNNNNNNNNNNNNNNNNNNNNNNNNNNNNNNNNNNNNNNNNNNNNNNNNNNNNNNNNNNNNNNNNNNNNNNNNNNNNNNNNNNNNNNNNNNNNNNNNNNNNNNNNNNNNNNNNNNNNNNNNNNNNNNNNNNNNNNNNNNNNNNNNNNNNNNNNNNNNNNNNNNNNNNNNNNNNNNNNNNNNNNNNNNNNNNNNNNNNNNNNNNNNNNNNNNNNNNNNNNNNNNNNNNNNNNNNNNNNNNNNNNNNNNNNNNNNNNNNNNNNNNNNNNNNNNNNNNNNNNNNNNNNNNNNNNNNNNNNNNNNNNNNNNNNNNNNNNNNNNNNNNNNNNNNNNNNNNNNNNNNNNNNNNNNNNNNNNNNNNNNNNNNNNNNNNNNNNNNNNNNNNNNNNNNNNNNNNNUCAUCUACAAACCCAAGAGGUAAAGCAGUUAAAAUUUUUAGUAGAGACACAAUUAAAAAUAACAAACGAAGUAUUACAAGAACAAAUUCAGAAAGAAAACCAAAACAAUAUAGAUAUUUUAAAAGAAAUCCAGAAAAGAUAAAUAAAAUCUGUAGAAAAACUAAACACGGUCUUAGGAAUUAGAAAAGAAGCUGGAAGACUUUAAGAACCAUAAUUUGCUAAGAAAUAACCUAGAUUAUAUUAAAGAACAAUUAGUUAGAGAAGAAAAAUUUGUUAGAAAAGAAAUAGAACAAAUAAAACUAGAACAACAAAAUUUAAAAGAAACUUUAGAAAAAAAUUAACCAAAAAGUAGAUAAACUUUUAGAACAAAGAAAUAUAGUAAUAUCAGAGGAACAAAAAUUAAAUAACCUUUUAAAACAAUUUGAAAACUUUAAUUUAGGAGAAAAACCAAUAAUUAAAAUAGAAAGAAAAAUAAAUCCUUUUGAACCAAAAAAUCUAGCAAUAAAACCAUGGAAAUAGUAGAAGCAAUAAACCCUCGAGAUAAUGUAAAAGAAUUUAUUGAAGAAAAAUUAAAAAAGGCAGUAAAGGAAGUAACACCUUACAAAAAACAAUUAGUUCAAAAUUAUAAAAUAACUAGAUUUUUAAAUCAACAUACUAUAAGUUCAAUAGGAAAUAUUGUAUAUUUAGAUUUAGUAUCUCCAGAAACAAAACAUAAAUUAUUAAAAAAUAAAACCGAUAAAUAUAUGCACUUAGGAAUAAUUUUGAUAGGAAUAAUAGGACUUCAUCGUAAAGAAAUUGGAGCACUUAUAAAUAUUAACCUUUUAGAUACUAGAAACAACACAGUAGGACGAGCUCUUUUAGCUAGUGCAGAAGUUAAUAUGAACCAAAAUUACGCAGUUAUUGGUUGUAUACCUCAAUUUUGUAUAGAUCUUAAGGAAUUCACAGAAAAAAUAAAAAUAACUGUAAAUACUAAGGUUAUGAUAUGGAAUUAGGAAGUAAAAACCUUAGCAUAGCUAUAGGAUUUAUAGGAAAAACUACUAAUGCUUUAAGCUUAAAAUGUAUGAUGGAAUUCGAUGAUAUAGUAAAAACCUUUGGAAGUAAGACAGUAAAUAUGAUAGAAGCAAAACCUGUAAAUAUAAACUAUUUACUAGGACGAGAAUGGGAAUUACCUCAAAUAAAUAAACCAAUAAUAAAAUAUCCAACAUCCAGUAGCUUAUAUGAAAACCAAGAUGAAAGUGCAAGUAUAACCUUUGGAAAUUAUAAAACUGUAAAUGUAGAGGUAGAGUCAGAUAGUGAGAUAGAAAAUGUAAAUGUUAUACAAGAAGAUAUUUUACUAAACAUUGAGACAGUAGAAAACCUAUACAAAAACUCAGAGUUAGUAAAUAUAAUGUUAGAGGAAUUUAGUAAUCCAACAUUACUAGAUGAACAAGUGGAUCAAGAAAACUUUGUUAAUAUAAUGUGUAACAACUAUACAGAUGACCAAAUAAUAAAACAACUCUAUAAAACCAAUUUAAUUAAAAAACUUAUAGAUAUAGAAAUGAUAAAUCAAUUUACUAUUCAACCAAAAGUUAAUGAAAACAUAGAAAUAAUCCCAAACGAAUCAAUAAAUACAAUAAAUAAAGAAAAAGAAACUGUAAAUGUAAAAAGUGAAAUAGUAAAAUAUAAUAAGCCGUAUAGCAAGCCAAAAGGACCUCAAUGGAAAACUAAAACAGAACCUUCUAGUUCUUUGCAACCAAUAUACGAAUAUGGAACAAUAUUAGAUAUAGAUAGUGCACAAGAUCUUAGAAAAACGAUAGAAAAUUGGGAGCAAUCUUUAAAUUCAGCAGGUGUGGUAGUAUCCUUUGAAAAUCAACAAGAAAUUUAUGAAUUUUGUAAAAGCACCCUUAGAGGAACUGUACUACAAUUUUUUAGAAACCUGGAACAAGAAAACAACAGUUAUUUUCAAGAAGUCCCAAAUAAUUUUAGUAUAUCUUUAUUUAUAAAUCUUUUAAAAAUUUAUUUUUUAGGAACAACACAAGAAGAUGUAAAGGAACCUGCAAUAUACCUUCAUAAGUUAGAACAAUUGAAAUUAUGUAACCUUUCAUAUAUAAGAGAAUAUGAACAAAAAUUUAGGAAAUAUGCAAUCCUUGCUAGAGUAGACAGAACCCCUGAAUAUUUAAAUAAAUAUAUAUUAAAAAUACAAGGACCCGUAGGACUUAGAUUAUGGAAUGAAUUUACAACCUCCGAGUAUAAAAACUCUCCUUAUAUAGGUGCUAGAAUAGAAUUUGUAAAAAAUUGGUUAGAAAGAGAAUGUGUAAGCAUAGGAGAAAGAAGUCAGAUAAAGAAACAAGACAUAAAUCAACAACUUUGUAGAAAAUUACAUAUAGGAGAAAAUCUAGAUAUAGGAUGCAGAGAAUAUAAGUUUAGAAAACCUAAGAGAUAUAAUAAAUUUUUAAGAAGAAAGUCGAGAACCUUUUAUAAAAAACGACCAUAUCAGACAAGGUAUAAAAAACUUGGAAAGUUUUGGAUAAAAAGAAAAAGAACCUCAGAGAGAAAAAGACAGUGUAAAUGUUAUUUGUGUGGUCAGGAAGGCCAUAUAAGACCUGAAUGUCCUGAGCUUAAAAAACCAUUAAAUGAACGAAAUAGAAAAACCCAAUUAAAAAUAAACCUAAUAAAUGAGUAUCAGCUAGAUAGUGAAGAAGAAGAACUUAUCAGUGAAUUAGACUUUGAAAGUGAAAAUUCAAGUGUAUAUAGUGUAGAAGAUAGUGAAAAUGAAAAAGAAGAAAUUUGUAUGAUUAUUGAAAAAGAGGAAAAUCAAGCUAAGAAAACCCCUUUAAAUUUAGAAAACCUUGUACAACCUUUAGAAAGUAAAAUAAAACCUUAUAAUAUAUGGAAAGAUUUACAAAUAAUAAUCAAAGGAAAAAUUUCAAAAGAAGAAGAAGAUAGUAGUUCAAAACCUAAGGACACAGAAGAACCAAAAAGUCCUGUAAAAGAACCAAGGAAUCCUGAAAAAAUAACCAUACAAACAAUAGAACAAGUAAAUAUGGCAAAUAAAGUUAAAUCUAUUAUUUUUCCAACAACAAUUAAAUUAAAAACCAUAGAAUUAAAGGUAGACGCAAUGUUAGAUACUGGAGCCAGUAAAAACCUUUUAUUUGAAACCUUAGUACCUCAAGAAGAUCAGCAAACAUUAAUUCAACCAGUAGAGUUAAUCCAAUACAAUCAACAAAAACUAAUACUAACUAAGUAUAUUUCAAAUGUACCAAUUAUAAUUAAUAACAUAACCUUAGUAUUACCCCAAACUUAUCUUGUACCUACUAUAAGUUUAUAUCCUUUUAUUUUAGGUCUAAAUUUUGUACACUCUUUACAAGGAGGGAUAACAAUACAAAAUAACCAAGUUAGUUUUCAUCCUAAAACCAUAACAAUUGUUUAUACAAACAUGGAAAAUGUAUUAAAUAAAAAUCAUAAUGUAACAUCUCAUCAAAUUAGCAAAGUGGAGGCACAAAAGGAUAGCAUAAUUAAUGACUACUCAGAACAAUUAAGAAAUGCAAAUAGAUUAAAAAACCUUAUAUUAGAAGCAGAAAAAAUAGGAAUUAUAGGAGAAGACCCACAAAAACAUUGGAAUAAAAAUAAGACAACCUGUAAAAUACCAAUUAAAAACCCAGAUUUAACAAUAAAAACAGCAAAUAUAGCAUGUAAUCUUAUAGAUACAAAGGAAUUCAAAAUUCAAAUAGAAGAAUUGUUACAGAAUAACCUCAUAAAACCAAGUUUCAGUCCUCAUAGAUCCUCAGCCUUUUUAGUUAGGAACCAUAAUGAAGAAAAACGAGGAAAAGCUAGGAUGGUUAUUAAUUAUAAAAGAUUGAAUGAUAAUACAUAUGAUGAUGCCUAUAAAAUUCCGAACAAAGAUUCUUUAAUUAAUUCUAUUCAAGGAUGUAAAUAUUUUUCUCAGUUAGACUGUAAAAGUGGAUUUUGGCAAAUCAGAUUAGAAGAGGAUAGUAAACCAUGGACAGCGUUUUCAUGUCCUUGUGGAUUAUAUGAAUGGAAUGUAAUGCCAUUUGGACUAAAAAAUGCUCCUCAGAUAUUCCAACGAAUGAUGGAUAAUAUUUUUGGAAAAUAUUCUUUUGUUCUUGUAUAUAUUGAUGAUAUUCUUGUUUUUUCAUAUACUCUUCAAGAACACAUAAAGCAUUUAGAAUUAAUUUUUGAAAAAUUAAUUAGUCAUGGUUUAAUAGUAAGUAAAAAGAAAUUGAAAUUAUUUAAGAUUCAAAUAGAAUUCUUAGGAUUAGAAUUAGAAGAUGGACAAAUAAAAUUACAAGAACAUAUAGUGCAAAAAAUAAAUAAUUUUCCAGACAAACUCGAAGAUUUAAAAACCCUUCAAAGUUUCUUAGGAUUAUUAAAUUAUGUUAGGCCAUAUAUUAAAAACCUUAGUAGAUUAGCUGGACCCCUUUAUAGUAAAACAAAAAACACAGGGCAAAGAUAUUUUAACCAAGAAGAUAUUAAACUUAUACAGAAAAUAAAAGAACUUGUGAAACAUCUCCCAACCUUACAUUUACCCUUAGAAAAUGAAUAUAAAAUAGUCCAAACCGAUGCUAGUCAAACAGGAUGGGGAGGUAUACUUUUAACAGUAACUAAUAUAGGAGAAGAAAAACUUUGUAGAUAUUGUAGUGGAACCUUUAAUGAUUAUCAAAAGAACCUUAGCUCUACAGACUUAGAAAUUGAAGCAAUAAUAUUAGUCUUAGAAAAAUUUCAAUUAUUUUUUAACCAAGAACAAUUUACUUUAAGAACCGAUUGUGAGAAUAUUAAAAAAUUCUUUGAAAACAAAAAUUCUUCAAAACUGUCCACCAAAAGAUGGAUAAAGUUUCAAAACUCUUUAAUUGGUUUCAAACCUAAAUUUGAACAUAUUAAAGGAAAAGAUAAUAUAUUAGCAGACUGGUUAAGUAGACAAAUAAUUAAUAAUGUCGAUAAUACUAAUGAUUGAUUUCAUGAUUACAGGAACAUGGCUCAAAGAAAACCUACGAAAGCUAGAACCUUUCAAUAUGGAACCAUAUGUCUAAACGAAGUGUUGAAUCCAAACCUAAGGUUUAACUCUUUAUUUUCUCAAAACCUUUUUGAAGAACAUAAGGUUAUUGUAGAUAAUUUUUGGUCUUUAAAACCACAAAGUUUUCCAAACCAAAAUUUAGAAUACGCUUAUGGAAAUUUAAAAUCCAAAGCUUUCAUCUUGAAUUAAAAUCCUUAGAAAAACAAUGAGUCGCAUGUUAAGAUAGAGAAAAGGAGAGUGAGAGGGGCUGGAAUUUCUUUGGAUUCAAUAUUUCUCAUUCUCCUAAUAAGAUCAUGAUACAUGAUCAAUCCCAAAAUUUAUGAUUUUAAAAAAUACUGUUAAUUUUUGGUAAAAACAAAUUAUCUUUUAUAAUUUACAAUUCAUUUAACAAAUAAAACAUGAAUUUUAGUAUACUAAUAAAUAUUAUUUUAUAUAAAUUAAAUGAAAAACAUGAGAUUUUUUUAUUUAUUUUAAAGUUUAGUUAAUAAAUAUUUCUAUACAAUUUAUUUUUAUAGUUGUUGAUUUAAAAAAAAAAUCCAAAAAACUAACACUUUCAUUUUUUGUAUUUUAUCUGUUUUUUAUACAAAUGAAAAUAUAGCAUUUAAGUGAAAUAAAAUUUAUAAAUAUUUUCUUUCUAAAGUUAAGUUUUUUAUUAGAAAAAAAAAUUGAUGUAAUAUUAUUUUUAUUUUUAUUUUUUCCAAAGACAAUCCUAACCCCAAUAAAAAUAGGAGAGUGGAUUUACUUUAAAACUAUUAUUACCCAAUAAAAAAAAUCUUGAAAUAUAAAUUAAGAGUGUGUAAACUUAUAAAUAUUUCAAAAUUUAUUAAGAUGAAUUUAAUUUUAAAGUGAAUUACUGGGAAUGGGUGAUCCAUGUUAGAAUGCCUAAAGAUCCCAAUUAUUCACAUGCAUUUACCUCCUUGCCCUGAGAAUUGUAGAAUUAUAGCGAGUAUGUCAAAUUAAUUUUUAUCUUCUUGUUUUAUCAAUUAAUGUUUUCAAAACCGGAAAAACUAUUGAUUCAAUUGUCAAAUUGGUUGUCGAACUGUGGUUGAACUGGUAAUAUCAUAAAUAUAUAAUUUAUAUAUUAUUAAAAUUAAAAAUAUUUAUUGAUAAUUAUAUUAUAUUAUAUAAAUGUGAAAAUUCUUAUUGAAAGUUAUUUAAUUUUAGCUAUGUAUAAAUAUGUUUUUACAACAAAUUUAUGUUUAUUGCAUGUCAUCUGAAGAAAAAUAUGGAGUACUUACCUUCCAAAAACAUGAAUAAAUCACCUUGGAAAGUGGAAGAUAAAAUUUUGUUAGAAUACUCUCUUAGUUAGGCUUUAUUUGAUAACUGUUUUCAAACAGUUUUCUAUUCUCCGAUACUUAAAAAAUAAGAAAAUAUGUUUGAUAACUAAAAAUUAUCAAAAAAAAAAAGAAGAAAAAUAACAUACAUCAAUCCAAAGAGGAAGCAAUUAAUGAUUAUUUUGAACUUUUCCAUGAGAGAGCUUCACCAACAAGCAAAAAAAAUCAUAUCUAGAUGUUGAUUUCCUUCCAUCAAGACAUCCACCAUAAUAUAAAUUUGAAUAUCCGAUGAUUUCAAGGUUUUCAAUAUGCUUAUAUGUGAGCAUGUAAUCUUUAGUUCCUUAAAGAUAUCACAUUAAUUUCUUAGCAGUAAACUAAUAAUCUCAUCCUAAAUUGCUUUGAAAUAUUUACAACAUUCUAAUCGCAAAACUCAUGUUAAACUAGUGCAAGUUUUAGCAUACAUUAAGCUUCAUGUUAGGAUUCUAGCUGUAUCAACCUAAGGUAAUCACCUUGGAGGGGGGUAAUGAUCCCAUCUUGGAUUGCUUUGAAAUUUUUCCAACAUUCCAAUUGCAAAACUAAUGUCAAGAUGAGUGCAAGUUUUAAUGUACAUUAAGUUUCUUAUUAGGAUUCUAACUAUACGAAUCUAAGGUAAUCAUCCUAGGGAGAGAGGAUGAAUAGGGUAAGAAUCACUUUUUGGAAAUUCAAACUUAUAUGAUGCAAGUGACAAUUACAACUGGUUAUUUAACAAAUAUAAUUGACAAAAAAUUGCAUAUAAAAUGAAUAGAGUAAGAAAGGGAUACUUCAAACUCAAGAUGUUAUACGUUUAUCAUAAUCGGAGCUAUGUUCACUCUCCUCAAGUUCUAACAAUAUGAGGGUUCCACUAAUCCAAUACUUUUAAAGUCAAAGCUUUCAAACUCUUUACACUUGAAUUCUCAAUUCUAAGGAACCUUCCACAAGUCUCAAGAGAAGUCUUACUCUUGAAUAAUCCCUUAAGUGAUAUCUCUCACUUGAGUUCACUUCACAAAGAUUACAAUUUGAUAGGAAAUAUAAUCUUACAAAAUCGUAGUACAAAUUUAAACUUAAAUAAUACAAGGAAAAACUAGGAUUGAGAUACACGAAAUGAAUUUGCAAGUUUGAAAUAAAGUGCACUUAAAACACCCCUCCCCCCCUCCCCAAAUGAUGCUUAUAAAAGAUUUAAAACUCUUGUUCACAAAAACAAAGAAGUAUGAAGCCUUUAAAUAGGGUUUGGAAGCCCAAACUAGCUAUUAAGCAAGUUGAGGUUUAACUGGUCGAACAACUAACUCGACCAAUUCAUUAGUCGUUAGCAUUUAAUGCUCUAACAAGUGACCAUUGGGGUUCAAUCAACCGAUCAAGUAACUGAUUCAACCAAUUACACCCCAACUAUUGGAAGUUAAGGGUUCAUAAAAUGCCCCUCAACUUGUUGAGCCUAAUUGGCUCAAUUGGUUUUUAACCUCCUCAACCAAUUGCACUACAAGGUGUGGAACCUCCAAGGCUCCAAUAACUUUUGUAUAACAACUUAAAACCUUUUAAAGCAAUUUUAGAAAUCAUUUGGCUCAAGGUUUAAUUUGAAAUUUGAAAUAAUCCAAUUAUAAAAUAAUUUAAAAAUAAUUUAGCAAUUAGAUGAUUUUUGGUGCAAAAAUAAAAAAAAUAAAAUGCAUGAUCCUAGUACAACAAUAACCUUAUAAAGAGAUCUUAGAAAAAUGGUUUUAAUUGAUGUUCUUUUUUUUUUUAAGUCCUCUCUAGCUUCUUAAUUUUCCUUUUACUUAAUUUAUAUAUCUUUUGAUUAUCAUUUUGAAAAUAUUCUUGCUUAAACAAAUUUAGAGUAAAUCAUUAGUUCCAAAACUUACUUUUUUAUCAUUAAAUCAAAAUUAACCAAAUCUUAGUUUAACCAUCUCUUUUUUCUUAUGAUGACAAAACCAAAGUUACUAGAAUGCUUCUCCUGAGUAUAUACUACUUUUAUUUGAGAAAAUACUCAAGUUUAAGAACUUUAAGGAGAAUAUUAAGAGUACUAAAAUAAAUAAUAUAAUAAAUAAAAACAACACAGUGAGAAAAUUAACAAAUGACAAGAUAUGAUAGCAAACAAGAAACAUACAUGUAUGAUCAUGUAAUUAAGUACAAUGCAUCAAUAUAAGAAGUGUUAAAAUAAUAUUGACAUUUUAAUAUUAUAGCAACCUUCUAUCUAUCUAUCUAUCUAUCUAUCUAUAUAUAUAUAUAUAUAUAUAUAGUGAAAUGAACUUUUCUUUAUAAGAAUCUUCAAUGCAUAAUUCUCUAUCUAAAGAAACAAAGGUGUUUUUUGGCUUCUUGAGACCACAAAGUACAGGAAUUCGUUACAUCCACGAGUAAAUAAUGAAAAGUUGAAUUUCCUCUAUACCACGAUUUAUCCUGUCUCACUAGACUAUUCGUGGGGUAUACUUUCUUGGAAAACUAAAGGAUAAGCGAGACAUGUGCUAUCUUCGAAACUCAUUCAAGCAAAGAAAAAAGAAAUGCUUUCUAACCUGUCCAGAGAUUCAUCAUGCUUCACUAGACUAUUUGUGGGGUAUACUCACCUAGAAAGCUAAAGGAUAAGCGGGACAAGUGAUAUCUACAAGACUCAUCUAGGCAAAGAAAAAAGAAAUGCUUUAUAACCCGCUUGGAAAAUAGGCAUAGAAAGAUUCACUGGUGAAAAUCCAAACUCGGUUUUUUUUAAAAAUAAAAUAAAAAUCAAACCCAUUUUAUCAUUUUUCAUUUUUAGGAAUAGGGUGGGUGGGUGCUAUAUAUAUAUAAUUCCAAAACCAAGCCCCUGACCAAAUGAAAAUGGAGUGUGUUAAACUCGAACAUUAUGAGUAUUAGGUGGAUGAUAAAUAAUCACUUAUAAUGUAAGUGUAUAUCCAUAUGUCACCAUCAAAUUAAAGGUGCAAUUCCUACUUACAGAGUCCCUACCUUAAAUUAGGUCGGGGAUAAAACUAAUGAAAGUAUUUAUGAUCUUUACAUGAACUUUCAUUAUUGAAUAAACUGAUCACUAGAGUACACAUGUCUCAAAUAUUUUGUUUGCUUCUCCAACAUAUGUUGGAAACAAAAGUAUGCUUUCAUCGAGGAAAAGAAAUUUAAUAAAGGGAAAAUUUAUAAAUGCUCUAGUGUCACGCCUCGAAACCCACUCCAAUGGCAUAAAGGUUAUUUCACACUUCAAGUCCAAAUGCUUAAAAUGGAAACAACACAAACAUUUGUAUUGUAACUGGAAAUUUACCAUUUUCCAAUUACCAAAAUCUUGUUUAGAGUAGUAUAACAAAAAUUCUAAAAUCUCCAAAUAACAAUUUUUGAAACUUAACACAUCAAACCAAGUGUUAUUGUCCAAGUAACUCCAAACUCAAAUAAUUCUAAUGGAAAAUAAAUUUUACAUCCAAACAAUGCUAAAAGAAAUAAAGAAAGUUUUGACAAAUGUCCUAACAAAUUAAUUUUCCCUCCUAACCGUCACUCUUCGCCUGAACUGAGUUACUAAAAAAUUAUCAACAAAUGGGGAUGAGCUCAAAGCCCAAUAAGUAAUAUUAACAUAGUUUCAUGGAUCAAAUAGUUCCAAUCAUGCUUACAAAUAGGAGAUUUAGUGUAGAAUCAUUUUCAUAAAAACGUUUGAGUACAAAAAUGCUAAUACAUUUUAAAGUGUUUAACCAAACAUUUUCAUAUAUAUCAAAAUCAUUUCACAUCUAUUUCAAAUCAAAUACAUUUCAAUUGUUUUCUCAAUGGUUUUCAAAUAACAAAUAGUGCUUAUUUAAGUGAGACUUUACAAAUAGGUGGCUAGCCUCAAAUGUUCCUUUUAAGGUAUACGGAACCAAACACUUCCAGUACUAGUAACCUCUAACCAAACCCCUAGAGGUUAGGGUCCAAAUCAAGUAUAUUUCUUACCACGAAAAUGUAAAAGUCAACUAUUAUAUCCCGUUGACAAAGGUCAAACAAACUAGAGUCAAAUUAUUUAGGGGAAUUUAUGUAACCAUACACCAAGGGGUAAAAUUUUGCCUUUUGGAAACUUUACUUUUUACUUUUCAAAUUCAAUGGAUUUUGUGAAAAAUAAACCAUCUUUCAUACACUGUAAUAGUGAUAUUGAGGUCCCUUCCAAAAAUACCCUCAUAUACUUUGACAUAAUCAAUUACUCAGAAAAGUCAUGUUCUACUUAAGCCAAUGACAUGGCUCAUAUGACAUGUAGACACUCCACGUGGCAAUAUUUUAAAAAAAAUAUUUACUAAAAUAUAAUAGUGAGAUUUACCCGAAAUCAUUUCUUCUGUGUUGAAUCAAAACCCUAAAUCCCUUCUUCUCUCUUUGAAGCAAACCUCCCAAAUCCCUUCUUCUCUCUUGAACCAAACCCUAACUCCAAAAACCCAUAUUUUUUCACUUUCUUUCACAGCGACAAUUCGCGAGGGGAGCUUGCAGUGAAAACAGAGAGAGGUGGUCCGAGAUGAGAGGAGCUUUCCUAGGUACGAAUGUAAUGGAUUUAUGAGUUAAUUUGGGUUGGUAUUGUUGCUUGUUGAGAUCUUUGACAGAAAAUUAGGUAAUUUUUUAAAAAUAUCACCGAGAUUUCGGUACUAAUGGGUAUUUUUUANNNNNNNNNNNNNNNNNNNNNNNNNNNNNNNNNNNNNNNNNNNNNNNNNNNNNNNNNNNNNNNNNNNNNNNNNNNNNNNNNNNNNNNNNNNNNNNNNNNNNNNNNNNNNNNNNNNNNNNNNNNNNNNNNNNNNNNNNNNNNNNNNNNNNNNNNNNNNNNNNNNNNNNNNNNNNNNNNNNNNNNNNNNNNNNNNNNAUCACCGAGAUUUCGGUACUAAUGGGUAUUUUUUACCCAUUUUUCAGGAAAAAUAAAUAAAUACGGGAAAUGUCACUGAAACUAGUGAGGUUGUAAGUUUGUAACUGUCAAAAAAUAAAAAUAAAAUUCUAGGGUUUAAGCUGUAGGUCUUAAAAAGAGGCUUUGAUGGAAAUAAAAGAAAAUUUUGAUUAAUUAAAGAAAUAGUGUAUUUGAACUCCACUUACCAGUCCAGCCCGCACACGCACACAGAUCCACAAUUUGAGGGCAAAGGUUGUGGUUUUCAACAUGGCUCAAAAAUCGUGGAUUUAGGGUUUGUAGAAUUUAAAUCCAAUGGCACAAAAGCAAUCAAUUUAAAGAAAUAGUGUAUUUGAACUCCACUUACCAGCCCGCACACGCACACAGAUCCACAAUUUGAGGGCAAAGGUUGUGGUUUUCAGCGUGGCUCAAAAAUCGUGGAUUUAGGGUUUGUAGAAUUCAAAUCCAAUGGCACAAAAUCAAAUAGAACCCUAGAAUAGAUCCAGAAAACACAAGGAGCAACAAAAUAAAAGCAUUUUUUUUUUUUUUUUGGUUUUCCUUGGGAGUUUUGAUGGACUUUUCUCGAAAAUCAAUUGAGGAUGAAUUUUCCCGGAAAUCGAAUGGGGGAUGGAUUUUCUUGGGAAGCAAACCGGGGUUGAAAAGAAAUAUUAAUAACAUGAUUAGAUUAGUAUCUGUGAGGAUUGAGAGUGGCAGAGGAAAAUAGGGCAUGAUGCUUGCUUAGAGAAGAAUUCAGCAAAGGGGCUUCUUGAUGUCUCACUCGUGGUGGCCUUCUUUUGUUUGUUUUUUAGAUAUAGUAUAGAAAUAAAGAGGAAACAAAUCAUAAGAACAAUAUUAUAAAUCAAAAUUAUUAAUUAUUAAUUAUAAAUAAUUAUUAAUUAUCCAUCUUUAUUUUGGUUAAAUCAAAAUUUCAGUUUUUAUUAGUAAUAUUUUAUAAAUUAAAAUUAAUUUGAUAAGAUAAAUUAUUAAUAAUAUUAAUUAUUUAAAUAAAUUAAUGUUAAUAGAAAAUUUUGUUACCAUAUAUUUUUAAUACAAAUGUAGAAAAUUUUUAAAUGGUAGGUUACUCUUUUCUUUCAGUAGUUUUGUAACUUCAUUAAUUUUGUAAACAUUGGUCUUUUUGUUGUUUGAUGGAUAUUGUAGUUUAAAAUGUGAAAUGGUCUCUAUUUGUUUAUGUAUAUUUGUUUCACUUAUGACAAUUCAUCUUGAUGGCGCUAACUUCAUGGGUCAUAUGAAGUGAAUUGUAGGAUUACGUACUUUUUAGUGAAACAAAGGUUUGAGGACUAUGAUUUUUAUUGAAUUGGAUUUUGAUAUGUCAUAUUGUAGACCCCCCGGAGGCAGGCAGUUUUCUUUUUAUUUUUCCUACCUUUUUCCCGAACCGCUCGACAUGAUGGUGAGAGCUGUGUUUGGGGGCAGCAAAAGGGGACUGAUGGGGGAGGCUUUUGGGCGGCAGAUGUGACGGGGUACGGAGAUGGCUUGGAAGAGAAGCUAGAGAGAAACAGAGAGAAAAUAGAAGAAAAAAAAAGGAAGAAAAAAAAGGGGAGGGCUCUGGUGGAUUUUUAGGGAGAAACCAGGGGAAAGAGGAGGAAAAUGGGGGUGGCUUGGGGGAGAAAAACAGGUCUUCGGAGAGAGAAGUUUGCCUGAGGAAGAAAGAGUGCAGGUAUGGUUUUCUGUUAAAUGGAUCUCUUUGCUUUCAUAUAAUUUCGAUUACGAUUUCUGGGAUUACUAGUUUAUAUAUAUAUAUAUUUGUUCUGAUGUUAGAAUGUGAGCCUUGUGGAUUUUGUCAUGUUCUUGUGGGAUUUGAGCUCAUUUUCUUUCAUUUUAUGCUUAGCAUGGCUUGGUCCUCAACCUAUUUUCAAAGUUCUAUUUUUGUCUUCAGAUUUCCACUACCCAUUUUACUCUGUUUUCUACCAUCAUUCUUUCUCUAGCUGCUUAUCUUACCACCCAUUCGCCAAUCCCGCAUCCCCUCACGUUCAUGCAACCCAUGCGCGCUCCCUUCAUGACAUUCCUUUGCUCAUCUUGUCCUACAUUUUCACUCCCGGGUUCAUGCCAUACUCACCGCCACUUUUUCUCUCUCUCUACACCACAAUCAUACCCACUAAUGUUCCAAGAUGCAUGUUCUACUCCCCUCACCUCUCCAAGUUGCAUGUCUACUCGUUCCCAUCACUACGCUCAACACCCUCCAUGCCCAUUGCCAGACAUUACCUCCAUCUCCAAGCCUUCGUUUUUAGUUUCCAGAAUACCCAUCAUGCUUAUCUCCACACCUCUCAUGCUCAUUCUUUCCUCACCAUUCCCUCUCCCCCUCUUGAUGCCCAUUCCCGUCCACGCAUGGUUGCUCUAAACCUCCCUCGCACCCUUCCACAAUCUCGACGUCUCCCGUUCCAUCGAUCAACGCACCGAAGGUCGCCUCCGGCAUGCCAAGGAGGCUGCGGUUGCUGCUGCUGCUGCCGCCGCCACCACCCUCCAAUCUGUUGUCAUUUUCCAGCAUCAUCCAAAUGGCGACGACUGCAGUGCCCCAGUCCCCGCCGGUGCCAUCGACGAUGGGGUAGCGAAGAUGAUGAAAGGGAAGCUUGAGAUUUCACUUGGUGAUAUGUGGACAGAAAAGCCAUGGAGUGGAGACAUAGAGACGUGGGUUGUUGGGAAAGUGCAGGGGCUGCUCUACCUUUUUUUUUUAUCCACUUAUCCCCGUUUUCCCCUCCUUGCUUAUUGUUUAUGUUUGGGCUGCUGGCAGGCCCAAGGCCCACUAGCUUUCUUUGAAACUUCUUCCCACCUUAGGCCCAUUAAAGGGCUCAAUUUAAGUAGCCAUUGUCGUAAGCCCAUUCCUAGCCAUUGUCCUAAGCCUAUUUAUAUUAUUAUCACUUAAAUCUUCAAAUUCAAUUUCAUAUUAUUAUUAUUAUUGUUAUUAUUAUUAUUAUUAUUAUUAUUAUUAUUAUUAUUAUUAAUUCAACUUUUAAAAACUUAUUAUUGUUAUUAUUAUUAUUAUUAUUAAUUCAACUUUUAAAAUCCUAUUAUUAUUAUUAUUAUUAUUACUAUUAAUUAUUAUUAUUACUAUUAUUAUUAUUACUAUUCUCAUUAACUAUUAUUAUUAUUAUUAUUACUAUUAUUAUUAUUAUUACCAAAGUCAUUAUUAUUAUUAAUUCAAUUUUCCAAAUCUCGUUAUCCUUAUUAUUAUUAUUAUUAUUAAUUCAACUUUCAAAAUCUAUAUUCUUGCAAUUCAACUUUCGAAAUCUAUAUCCUCGCAGUUUAAUUUCUCAAAGUCCAUUUCUUAUUAUUGUUAUUAUUAUUAAUUCAAACAUUCAAAAUCCUAUUAUUAUUAUUAUUAUUUCAAACUCUCCAAAUCUUAUUAUUAUUAUUAUUAUUAUGAUUAAUUCAAUUCUCAAAAUCUUAUUAUUAUUAUUAUCAUUAAUUCACGCUUUUAAAAUCUUACUAUUAUUAUUAUUAUUAUUAAUUCAACUUUUAAAAUCUUAUUAUUAUUAUUAUUAUUAUUAUGAUUAUUAUUAUUAAUUCAACUUUUAAAAUAUUACUAUUAUUAUUAUUAUUAAUUAUCCAACUUUCAAAACCUUAUUAUUAUUAUUAUUAUUUCCAAAUCUUAUUAUCAUUAUUAUUAUUAUUAUUAUUAAAAAUUCAUAUCCUCGCAAUUUAAUUUCCUAAAGUUCAUUUCUUAUCAUUAUUACUAUUAUUAAAAAUCUAUACUCUAGCCGUUCAAUUUCGUUCAUUUCUUAUUAUUAUCAUUAUUAUUAUUAUUAUUAUUAUUAUUAUUAAAAAUUUAUAUCCUCGCAAGUUAAUCUCCUAAAGUUCAUUUCUUAUCAUUAUUAUUAUUAUUAAAAAUCUAUACUCUAGCCGUUCAAUUUCGUUCAUUUCUUAUUAUUAUUAUUAUUAUUAUUAUUAUUAUUAUUAUUAUUAUUAUUACUAUCAUUAAAAAUCUAUAUUCUCGCAGUUCAAUUUCCUAAAGUUCAUUCCUUAUUAUUAUUAUUACAAAUUCAACUUUCAAAACCCAUAUUCUCGUAGAUCAAUUCCCCGAAGUUCAUUUCUACUCUAAUUUUCAAGUAAAUUCCAAAAAUCCAGUUUUCACUCGAAUAGUUUUAAUUUCGUUCCGGUUCUUAAGUAAUCUUCUAACCUUCUUGAUUCUACAUAAGCAAAAGUGAAUUCUUCAUAAUUCUAAAGCACAGAAUUUGUGAGACUAGUUCGUGGAUAAUAAAUUGGGCUUUGGUGGGAGGCCCUAUGUUUGAUCCCUAUUGAUUGUCAACUGUUGUGCUUAAUAUAUUUUGCUUGAUCUUCAUUUUGCACUCCGAUAUGCAUGAGCUAUAAUUUGUAUUCGUUAAUUGUGUACUAAUCUCAUUUCUUGAUAGCGCAUUGUGGCUCGUGACCCGGGUACGUAUACACUCUCAUUCUGAUACUUCACUAUACAUGUUCCGAUUUUCAUAUGUGCAUGAUCAUUCAGGAUAUUCAUUGAUUUACUCAUCAAUUGCUACAUUAGCUUCAUUUUAUUAGUAGAGACCCGACUUUAGGGGCUUAGAGGGGUCUACGGUCUUUACCGUACCUUCCCGAUGAGUAACCUGACCCCCGAACCCAAUCCGGUUUUUCAUAGACCACCUUUUCCAAAACAAGGAGUCACACUUAGGGUUUUUCUUUCUUAUUUUGUUUACCCUUUAAGAAUAAAACAAAAAUAAGUGGCGACUCCAAGUCAUUUUCAAAUAAUCAAUAAAAAAAUCAUUUUUCAAAUUAAAAUCGAGCUCGCCAUUGAGUGGGAAACGCAUGAGCCGAAAUGCGGGGUCCACACAUAUUUUCUUUUAUAGCUAUUUUUGUAACCAUAUCAAUGUUGGGGCCACCGAUCUUGUUGUUUGUUGAAUAAAGUAGUUUAAAACAAUAUGGCUUUCAUUUAUCAAUAUAAAAAAAUAUUAUAUUUUAAUUUUAAAAAAAUCAAAAUUUACAAGAACUGUUAUAUAUAUACAUUAUAUAUAUAUAUAUAUAUAUAUACAAAAACUAACCUCGUUAAUUCUGGAGCUUAUCCGUUACAAGAACUUUUUUUCUCAAAACUGAUUGGUUGACAAAGAAAAUUCCAAUAUUAUCUUCAUUUAUUUAAAAAUAAUUUAAAAUGCAUGCACUUUUUAAUUUAUGAUUUAAUUAUUCCCAAAAAUAGCCCUUUACUUGUUAGGUCAAUCCUAAUCCAUUGACAAUUAGAAUCCUUUGUAUAAAUAUUUCCAUUCUUUUUAGAUAUUUUAUUAUUAUUAUUAUUAUUAUUAUUAUUAUUAUUAUUACUUUAUUAUUUUAUUAUUUUAUUAUUUGGGAAUUUUUUUUCUCUAGAAACAUUAUAAAAUAAGAAUUUGAAAAAAAAAAAACAGAAUUUAUUAUAGUAUUAAUAAGUUAAAAAUAGAUUCAUAUUCUUGAUAAUAAAUAAACCAAUAAUAAAUUUCUAUUUAUUAUAUAAUAUUAAUAAUUGUUUAAUAUAAUAAUGGAUAAAAUUUGUUAUUAGAGUUUUUCAAUAAUAAAUUUGUUAUAAUAUUAAAAUAAUUAUAUAUUACGAAGUUUAUUCUUUAUUAUUUAAUAAACAAUCUUAUUACUUUUUGAAUUGGUAAUUAAGAUUAAAUAUGAUUUGUUUGACAAUAUUUCCUAAACUUUUAGAAAACUAAAAUAAGAAUCCUAUAAGGUGUUUGUUUCUAGAGGAAAAAAAAUCUUAAAUAAUAAAAUAAUAAAAUAAAAAAAAAUGUAAAAUAAUAAGGAAACAUUUAUAUGGAGGAGUGUAGUUGUCAAUAAUCUUAAAUUAUUAUUAUUAUUAUUAUUAUUAUUAUUACUAUUACUUUAUUAUUUUAUUAUUUUAUUAUUUGGGAAUUUUUUUUCUCUAGAAACAUUAUAAAGUAAGAAUUAAAAAAAAAGAAAAAAGAAUUUAUUAUAGUAUUAAUAAGUUAAAAAUAGAUUCAUAUUCUUAAUAAUAAAUAAACCAAUAAUAAAUUUCUAUUUAUUAUAUAAUAUUAAUAAUUUUUUAAUAUAAUAAUGAAUAAAUUUUGUUAUUAGAGUUUUUCAAUAAUAAAUUUGUUAUAAUAUUAAAACAAUUAUAUAUUACGAGUUUAUUCUUUAUUAUUUAAUAAACAAUCUUAUUACUUUUUAAAUUGGUAAUUAUGAUUAAAUAUGAUUUGUUUGACAAUAUUUCCUAAACUUUUAGAAAACUAAAAUAAGAAUCCUAUAAGGUGUUUGUUUCUAGAUGAAAAAAAAUCUUAAAUAAUAAAAUAACAAAAAAAAUCUAAAACUAUAAGGAAACAUUUAUAUGGAGGACUGUAGUUGUCAAUAAUCUUAAAUUAUUAUUAUUAUUAUUAUUAUUAUUUUAUUAUUUGAGAAUUUUUUUUCUCUAGAAACAUUAUAAUGUAAGAAUUUGAAAAAAAAAAUAGAAUUUAUUAUAGUAUUAAUAAGUUAAAAAUAGAUUCAUAUUCUUGAUAAUAAAUAAACCAAUAAUAAAUUUCUAUUUAUUAUGUAAUAUUAAUAAUUGUUUAAUAUAAUAAUGAAUAAAAUUUGUUAUUAGAGUUUUUUAAUAAUAAAUUUGUUAUAAUAUUAAAAUAAUUAUAUAUUACGAAGUUUAUUCUUUAUUAUUUAAUAAACAAUCUUAUUAUUUUUUGAAUUGGUAAUUAUGAUUAAAUAUGAUUUGUUUGACAAUAUUUCCUAAACUUUUAGAAAACUAAAAUAAGAAUCCUAUAAGGUGUUUGUUUGUAGAGGAAAAAAAAAAUCUAAAAUAAUAAAAUAAUAAAAAAAAAUCUAAAAUAAUAAGGAAACAUUUAUAUGGAGGAGUGUAGUUGUCAAUAAUCUUAAAAUAUUAUUAUUAUUAUUAUUAUUAUUAUUAUUACUUUAUUAUUUUAUUAUUUUAUUAUUUGAGAAUUUUUUUUUCUCUAGAAACAUUAUAAAGUAAGAAUUUGAAAAAAAAAAAACAGAAUUUAUUAUAGUAUUAAUAAGUUAAAAAUAGAUUCAUAUUCUUGAUAAUAAAUAAACCAAUAAUAAAUUUCUAUUUAUUAUAUAAUAUUAAUAAUUGUUUAAUAUAAUAAUGAAUAAAAUUUGUUAUUAAAGUUUUUCAAUAAUAAAUUUGUUAUAAUAUUAAAAUAAUUAUAUAUUACGAAGUUUAUUUUUUAUUAUUUAAUAAACAAUCUUAUUACUUUUUGAAUUGGUAAUUAUGAUUAAAUAUGAUUCGUUUGACAAUAUUUCCUAAACUUUUAGAAAACUAAAAUAAGAAUCCUAUAAGGUGUUUGUUUCUAGAGGGAAAAAAAUCUUAAAUAAUAAAAUAAUAAAAAAUAAUAAAAAUCUAAAAUAAUAAGGAAACAUUUAUAUGGAGGAGUGUAGUUGUCAAUUGAUUUGAAUAACAUAAAAAAUAAAAUGACAUUUUUUGGAAUAAUUGGAUAACUCAGUGCAUGUAUUUCAAAUUAUUUUUAAAUAGAUGAAGAUAAUACUAAUUUAAAAUAUUUGGGAUUCUUUUUACCAUAUAUUUUCUUAUUAGUGAAUCAAAUCCCACUUUUCCCUAAACUAUAUUGAUUUGGUUAGAUGAGUAUGUAACUUUGAGCCAUACCAUUUGUUUAAUUGGUUGGCCCACUAAAAUGCACAUUGUCUGUUUUUUUUUUUUUACAGUGGGUAUCAUAGUGGGUGACCCUAUAUAUUACAAUUUCACCCUUAUUGAUAACCAUAUUAUUGAAAGGCUAGAGGAAAUCGAUCUCAAUGAUUUUCAUUUACAUGAUGUAACAAAAUGUUUCCCAUUUCUUUAUUAAUAUAUGUUAUAUUUGUGUAAUAAUUAUGAUGAAUGUAUAUAGGAACACUAUAUUCACGUUCACAUGUCUUUAACAUUUGAUUAAUUUAUUAAUGAAUUAUGGUUGUUUAAUGCAGUGAUAAUAUGAACAUACGAUGUCGUUGUUCUGGCUGUAGAUUCCUCUCUGGAAUCCAUUUGCUCUUAGAAGUGAAGAAGGAUGUAAUAAGAGAACUUGGUUUUGGUGGGUUAUUGCAAUUAGGUUGUAAGGAGGUUAAUUUAGAUUUAUGUUUUUGGUUGAUAAAAAUCACAAACAUUGCUUAUUCCCAACUCGAGUUAUUUGGGGGUAAGAAGGUUUCUUUGACAUGUCAUGAUGUUGGGAUGACGAUGGGCAUUCCACAUAGUGGAAGAAAGUUAAUUGUUGAGAAGGCAAGUGUUAAAGCUAGUCAAAUGCCGAGUUUGCAAGAUAUAGAGUCAAUGAUGGUUGGCAUCGAUGAUAUGGAGGAAUUUAAGCAGGUCUUCUUGAUUUUCGCUUGUGCAACCUUAUUGGCACCCACAUCUCGUUUGGAAGGUAGUCACUCGUUAUGGUAUACACCGCGAGAGCAGUUACUUGGGAACAUAAAUUGGGGAGAAUAUGUCUUAGAAUUUUUUAUUCAAGUUAUACAUGAACAUAGGAGGAAGGAAAAUGUUUGGAUUAAAGGGUGUUUGAUGUUUCUACAGGUAACUUUUUGUCUUAUUGAUAAGUAUAUGUCCAUGUAUUAGAUAUUCAAUAAUGGUUAUACACUAUGUUGGCCAUGAUGUUACCACUAAUUAUGUCUUAUAUAAUGCAACAGAUAUUCUACUUUUCAAUAUCUAAUUUUCCAGCCAUGUAUGUGGAACUUACCACUCCUCGCAUUGCUACAUGGAACGAUUUUUUGGUCAAACAACACAUCAAGUUGGAGUUAGAAAUGCUUGGAGGAUUUAGCAAAGUUGAGGUAUAAUUAGCUUUUAGUUAUAUUAAGAUAGUUGAUUACCAUUGUAAUUAGAUUAUUGGGAUGACAAUUUACAUGUUUUGCAAUGAUAGUUGGUUAGCACAUCGGCGGAGCAAGAUGAAAUAGAAAAAAAUAAGGCUCCUGCAGUUGAUGACCUAGUUGACCCAAAUGAGAAUGAAGACUUUGAUAUAAUCCUUCAUACCUAAUGACUAUAAAUAGUAACUUAUAUUAAGGCUUAGUUUAAAUAUAUGUCAUUUAAUGUUCCUUUAUUAUGUUUGACUUAGGUUAUUUAUGCUCGCAUGGAGGCAACACAACGUCAAAUCACUGAUGCACAAAGUCAUCUUAAUAGUCUUAUUGCAUCAUACAACCGUGACGUGAAAGUGUUGAGGACUCGUUUCACCUCUUCACACUAUCGCACAGAUGAAGGCCAACCGUCAAAUUUUCAUGAACAUGUUAAUGAAAGUGGUGCACCAUUUUAUACAAAUAAUCCACAACAUUCACCUGUUCAUUCUGGUGGUCAAAGAAGAUCGAUCUUCUGAAGAUGACCUUGGAUGUACAAAUGAAGGGGUGUUAGAAAGACCCAACGUAGAAGAUGGUGUGUUCCUUUCAAACGAGGAUCCCCUUCACCCUGGGCCACGCAAUAUGUUGGUGUUAGUGCAAUCGUGCAUGAACACCAAUGUGAAUGUAGCACCACAAGCCUCAGAAGAAAUACGACCACGAAGAGUAAAAAUGAAAGUACGUCGUCAUAGGCAACGAGCAGUUGCGUACAAGUCACCUUUUGUACAAUUAUGUGUAUCAAAAUAUAAACGGUUGACGGAGGAAAAGACACAUGUUGCCGACUAUGUGUUUGACGAGUCAAAAGAUCCUCGGUUAGUCCCAAAUCACGCGUUUAGCAAGUAUUGUUCUUAAAAGACUAUGAUUAUGGAUUUGUCUAGAAAACAAAAAAAAUUACUCACGUCGUGUGUUUCAUGUGAUUAAUAGUGAGAUGCUUUGUGCAUAUGGUGGCUAUGGCGUGACACGAGAACAACUUCAAUGCUUAGUAGGGGAGAGCUUCAUUGAUAUUCUGGUAAGGUUUAUGAUAAAUAAGAAAAAAUACCUUCAUCUUUCCAUUGAUCAUUUUAACUAAUGAAGAGGCAUUAUGUAGGUGAUUUCCAUGUUUUGCCGAUACAUGAAUGCAAAAAAAGAGAAUCCUUCUCGCAGACACUUUUUUAAUCCAUACUUUAAGGUGAGGUUUUUUCCUCGAGUACACCAAAUCUUGUCCCUAAUAUAAGAUGCAUGUAUAGUUUUAGUCAUACAUUGUUACUAUGAUCUCAACAACUUUUUACAGGAAAUAUGUGGUUCAAUGAGCAAGUCUACCUCAAAAUCAACAUUCAAGAAAAGAUUAGGUAGCUAUUGUGUUAAUCUUGAAUGUUGCAACCAGGUAAUGCUUGACUAUUGUAUUGAUUACAUAGAUUGAUGACAAUUUUUUAAUAAUUUUGAAUUUAUAUUUCAAAUAUUUAAGUCUUCAUUGUUGUUAUGAUGAUUGUCUGUUUUGUAGUUUUAUAUCCCCUUAUUCCAAUUUAAUGAAUGGGUCAUCAUGGUAAUCAAUUUGGAGGCUAAAAGGGUGGAUCUACUUUCAUCAUAUAAUAGCAUUCAACGUGUUCAUUUUGUUAAUGAAGAUUUCAAAGUAGUUGGAUUUAUGUCAUAGUUAUCAAAAAAUUCCUUCAAACGGAAUGAUGUGAAUAUAAAUAAUUUACAUCCACAGUAUGCAGAUAUCGUUGGCGAUCCAAAAUUGUUAGUUACAUAUAUUUUUUUUUCAUGUAUUCAUUUUCAAUCCUAAUUGGGUCCUAUGUUAAUAACAUGUCACAAAUCAUACUUGUUAUUGCAGAUGACAUACUGGGAUGUAUGCUAUUCUCUAUAUGCAACAUUGGGAUGGAAGUUGUCUUAAUAGAACCAUUAAUUCUGUAAGUUGUUAAAUAUGAUGUUAUGUUUUUAUUUUCAAAUGUACAUGUUAAAUGUUACCGGGAUGUAGGGUCUAACAUAAGUUUAAUGUGUAGGAACGCAUGAGCCUUGAAAGACUGAAAUUUGCAACUCAUAUGGUUCUUGAUAGCGAAAACGAAAUUGGUGAAAUGGUUACAGCUAAUAUUUGGUCAACCAACGAUGCAGAAUAGUAUUGGGUAACCUUCACAAUUAAUUUCUUUUGUUUUAUUUCAUUCAAUUUUUUAACUAUACAUUCAAAUUUAAACUUCAACUUGGUUAUCGAUAGUGAAUAAUAGAUUUUGAGGCUAUGUCAUGUCUUUUUUAUGGUACAAUAGAAGGGAUAAGUUAUCAAGACUGCUUCCAAUGCAUGCAUGGUUCAUUUGACUACCAAGUUAGGUGCUAUCUCCUCCCUAUAUAUAUAAAACUAUAGUAAAUGACAUUUUUAUUUUUUAAGGUUAUAUUAUUGACAAUUUCUUUAUACUUCCAUAAAUUGUUUGUGCUAUUCCAUAUAACCUGUUUAAAUCAGUUGAUAACAUUGUAAUGACAUGGUCUGGUUGCUUAAACUUAUCCCUAAUUUUCUAUGUUUAUGUAUAAUCAUGAGCUAAUUAUUAGAUAAUUCAACAACCCUGUAAACCAAUUUGGUCAAAUGGCUGUAUUUUCUGUUUAGCUGAAAGAAUCCUUGUUACCAUCUUAUUGUGGGUUUGGCUGUCUCGCAUCUAUAAAGCAAUUGAUACUAAACUUAGUUUAGAGUGAUUUUUGAUGGUUAGACAUUUAAUAAGACAAAGGAUGACUUGUUCUUGCAUUAAUAUUUCCUAGGGGAGUGUUGUGGAAGGAACCCUCUAAAAGAAUAAGUUCCUUCAUUACUCAUAAGCUUUAUAGGUUUUUAUUAUGUUUUAUUUACAUCUUGUGGUUAACUGUACUUCUCUUAUCUUUAGGAGGUGACUGAUAAGCUAAUUGAGGAUGAUGAAUUUGAUGCAGAUCAAAAUGAUGCAUUUAAGGUGAUUUGUAAUUGAUGAUAUGCAUGUAACUGAUUGCUCUUGCAUGUAAUUAACCAUACCAUGAACUUAAAUUGUUUUGGUUGCUUAGAAUUUUGUCAAAGACAAUGUCCGAGAGGCAAAAAAAGCCAAUAGACAGGUAUUUUAUAGCAGAUACCAAUCGUUGCAAUAGUUUUGGUCUUGCACAUAAAUUUCAAAUAUGUUGAGUACUUGUCAAUUCCUUUUCUUGUAGGCUAAAGAAGCCCGGAAAAAGGCCUUGUAGAAAUGAGUUAGUAGACUAAAGUAGCAUUUGAAAACAUGAAGUUUAACAAGUUCUACUCAGUCCAAACCGAUGAUACUCCUGACAUAUCAAAUGUUAAGGUACAAUUUAUUUUUUCUUUUGCAAAAGCUAAUAUUAUUAACACCGCCUAAUUAAAAGAAGGUGCACAAAUGUACACAAGAAGUUUAGAAAUUAGACAUAAAGGCAAUUGGAUUGAGAGAUUAACAAAAGCACCUCUCUAUAAUCAUCAAGAGCCUAACCAAUCAACACAAUCUAAUAUGGACAGUCAUGUUAAAAGCCAGAGAGAGCAUAAGAAAGAAUUUGUUAGAGUUUGUUCCGAUUAUUCUUCAUUGACAAAAACUCUAAAAUGUUAAGGUACAAUUUUGAACAUCUUUUCUAUUGAAAGAACAGAAUAUCUUCGACACCACUAUUUUUGUUUCUCCAUAUGAGACUAUUGAUAGCCAAUGAAUCUUGUGCAUUUUGAAGCUGGCCUUGAUGCGAUAUUCAAGAUCAAGGUGUAUUGUUAUAAGUCAUUCCCUACAUAAAUAGUCAAAAAAUAAUCUCUUGAUGGAAUAUAUGUUUAAUUUAUUUAUCUAUUCCAUGCUAACAAAACAUGUCUACUAUUUUUAAUAUCAACUAACUGAUCGCCCAAAAGCUUUGUCAUUAUGUGGCCAUUUUUUUUCCUUGGUAUCCAAAUGGAUCAAUAUGACAAUAUUUCUAAAUGGUUUGACUUUUACUUAGCUAAUUAAGUUGAUUUUUUUCUGUUGAGUCACCUUGUUUUCACUUGGCCAUGGUUUAUUGAGGGUAUGUUUUACCAUCCAUUCUGUGAAUAAGUACAAAAAAUAGUUGAUUGGUUGUAGCAUAUCAAUGAAUUUGGCCUCUUCUAUUAGAGCAGACACUUGUUAAUGAAUGCUAAUUGCAUUAUCUUAUUUGUGCCCUCUCUACAUAUUUUUCAGGAAAUAAGUAUGACUCAUUAAUCUUUAAAUAGUAAUUAUUGUUGUUUGGAAUGCCUUUCAGGCACCGUUUAUAAACAGGUAUUAUGGGAAAGCUCAUGAAGUUCUGUGAUUGGGCUCAUCAACCACUAGUAUUUCUACUGCAAAAGAUGCCAAUUGGUUUGCAUUGGGGACUAUAGCUAGCUAUUGAUUCUAGGAUAUGUUUCAUGAUGAAAGUUUAUAAUGGAACCCUAAAUGUGUGCUAAAUCUGGUGGUUCUUUCUUGGUUUCUCAAGUUUGUCUUACCUUUCCAAUUUAUGUACUUUGUUAGAAGUUCUAAUUUUGUCCCAUCAACAUUAUUUCUUGUAUUCCCAAGAGGUUCAAUUCUGCCAAUGCCAUGAAAUACAAAUAGUUAUUGAUCAUUUAUGGAGGUUUAAAUGAUUGUGGAUGAUAUAAGCAUUUACAAAACGAAAUUGCAUACUCGUGCAGCAUUUGACAUGAUGGAAAAUAUCAUACUGGUAAUAAAUCUUUGUUUAGCAAGGUGAUUAGCUUCUAUGUGUAGCUAUCAGAGUAAUAAAGCCAUAGAAUUUUAUAUUUAAGGAUGAUUUUUAAAAAUAAUUAUUUUUAAUGAUAUGGGUGAUUUUUUUCCAAAUUGAAUUAAAUAAACUUCUACUACUAUUUUUGUGGAAAAAAAUUGGAGUCCAUGCGCAUUUUUUGUCAAUUGUGAAAGUUUUUUUUAGCAUUUUUAAUAAUUUAAUAAUACUUUUUUUAAAGUAUUUAAAAUGUCAUAAAAUAUGUUUUAAUAUACGUAUUUUUUAAUUUUAAAAUAAAUCUCUUAAAUAUAUUAAAUCAAUUAAUGCUACUUUUCUUAUAAAAAUUUAAUAAAUAUUACAUUUAUUCAUACUUAUAUCAACUACAUUACACUUAUUUGAUAAAUAUUUGGCCAUUUUAUGUCAAAGAGAACAAAAACUUGAAAAACUUUUGUUGCAUUUGAUUUGAUUGUACCACAGUGGACAAUUAAUAACUAGAGGUCAACAUAUUACCAAUAUUUAUGAUGCACCUACCACAUAAUAACUUCACAUUCACUUCACAUAAUGAUAGUCUCCAAUUGUAGGCUUGUAGAAGACUUCAUUCACGUUGUUUCAUCCCAUCCAAUUUUAGUGACUUGUAACUAUGCACUCAUUAUGGAACAUUAAAUGCAUGUAUGUACUAGCUAUAUCUCUUGCACAAGCGGACCUCCAUUCCAACUUCAACCAUUUACUCAGUUUGGUUGACAUCACAUCCUAAACAACUCAUAUUCAUUCCCAUUUACACCUCAUAUUCUACUACUUAUACACGUUGCACAUCACAACCUCCCUCUUCCACCCACCCAUUCCUCCAUUGUAGUUAAUCUACCAUUUCACUCUAAGAUUUUUACUCGCAUAAUCGUCAACAUUUUUCUACAAUAACAACAACAAUAAGGUUUGUUUUUCAUUAUUUUCUACACAUAUUUUAUCUUGGUUGUGGCAACCACUCUUUUGGGAGUUGCUUGAAUUCCUUUUUAAGCUAUUUGUGGUUGGCUUGGAUGCAAUGAAUUGAAACUUUUCAUCUCUAACUUCCAUCACUGAAUUUUUAACAAUAUGUAGUGCCAUUACAAGGACCAAACAUCAUGCCGCCUAAAAAAAAGGUUAGACAUGGCUCAACGUCAACUGUACCUGAGGAAGUCCAACAUGACCCUUUCAUGCCUCGCCACCCACCUGAUGAGCACGAAUGUGAUAAGCUCAUAGCAAAACGACCAAUUGUCGUUGAGCAUGUCAUACUCAUUGCUGGGUUUGAAGAACAUUGCUAAGUUACUAGAUUUUUACAAAUUGAGACCAUUUAUACAGCUAACGCAAGAAUGUUAUCCAACUCCUGUGCGAGCAUUCUACAACAAUAUCAGAAAUGUUGACGAGGAGAAAUAUUCAUUUCACACUUCAUUCAAGGGAGUUGUUGUGUGAGUUUCCCCAUCCCUUAUUGGACGCACCUUCUCUCUGGAAACACCCAAGAAAUCUAUUAACUUUUGUAUUCCAGAGAUUGAUAUAAAGGCAAUGUCAGACACAAUAACAAAGGAAUUAUGCGGUCAUUCUUUUCAAUUGGGUACAAGCGUUGAACGUAGAUCUCUACUUCCAAAAUACAGGAUUCUAAGUCUGAUAUUGUUUCAUACUGUCUUGAAUAAGAAGGGUCAUCGUAAUGAGCUUACACUAUGUUCUGCAUAUUCUGUUCCACAUGGCACGUCGCAGUAAAAUUAAUUUGCCUGCACUUAUUUUCCAUAACAUGAUAGAGGCACGGCGUAGUAAUGUGAGCACACGUGCAUUACCAUAUGGUUCAACUGUUUGCUUGCUUUUACAAAAUGCAGGGUUAGAUUUCAAGACACUGCCUUAUGAGUCAAUCCCACGCAUGCAACCUAUGCGCAUGAAAAUGUCGAUAGACAAACAAAUAUCAUCCUCUUCUUCGCAUAGGUCAACUAAAAGUUCUCAGCUUAGGGAUAUUUACACAAUGUGCAAAUCAAUGAACAAUCAAUUGAAGAUUGUGCGUCAACAAUGCGAUCAUUCCAUUGCAGCAUGGAAAGCAUUGCACCCUGAUGCUCUACCUCCUACACCAUCACAGACAGAUGACGAGGAAAAUGGUGAUGAUGAUGGUGGAGAUGAAAAAGACGAAGAUGCACCGACUAAUGGAGAGGAGUAACCUUAGUUUCUAACCGUCUUACAACCAAAUGCGUAUGUGUGCGCACAACAUUUUCAUGGAUUUUGUAAUAAGUUUAUAAAAUCUCGUUCUCAAACAACUUCUUAACUCCUUUUACUUUAACGGUUUCCAAUGCUUAUCGAUAUGCAUGCUUUCAUUAAUCAUCAGUAAACUUUAUACUCUCUUGCACCAAUUGUCAACACUCUAUGCAAUAUUUAUGUGUAAAUGUGAUGCUAGUUAUGAGGUUGGUUUAAGUUAUUUUGAAUGUCUGAAUGAUAUUUUGCCUAUUUUCCAAUCUUAGUAUGUAUUGACUCUAUAUUUUAGGCUUCAACACAUAUGAAGCAAUUCUCCAUAAAUUUUAUUUCAAUGUGAAUGUAUAGGGCCAGCCCUUCAUGCGUUGGGUCUGCCUCCCAUGACCAUACUGUCCCAUCAACAAGUAAGAUAAAGUCACUAUGAAGGCAUGCCACCUGCACAAGGGGCAUGCUUAUCUUUUUUAUACUACACAAAUAAUAACUACGAUUAGGUUUUCACCCACUUGCAUGCAUGUCAUAUGAAAGGUGUGCCCCUAAUUUGGCUAUUGCACAUGGCAUCUUCGACACAUAGGCAUGCUUGUGAAAUAAAGGGUGGGCCCUUAUUUUGUGUAUUGCAUAUAACAUAAGAUUCCAAAGUUUAUCAUACCAUUGGGGAUGUGUAUGACAUGAAGGCGAUGGCCAUAGUUUUUCUUCAUGCUCAUUCCUACAAAAAAACGUUGUCAUUACCUAAUACUUUAUUUCAAAUUUAUAUUAUCAUUUUAUUUUAUAUUAUCUUUAUUUUUUUAACUACUUUUUUUUAUUUAGCUCAUUAUUAUUAUUUUUUAUUUACCCGUUUACUUUUAUUUAAUUUCAAAAUUUUGUAUUUUUAAAUAUUACAAAAAUAGUUGUAUUCAGAAUUUGCUACAAUAAAAAAAAUGAUGAAGUCCUAAUAUUUUAUAACUUAAAAUUAUUUUGAUUAGAUAAAUGAUUAAUAAUUUUAAUUAUUUAAAUAAAUUAAUGUUAAUUGAAAAAUUGUCACCACAUAUUUGUAAUAAAUUUUUAGAAAUCAUAUCUUAAAUCAAAUAUUUGAUAUAAAUCAAUUUAGGUUUUAUUUAAAAUGUAAUAAAAUAUGUUUUAAUAAAAGUAUUUUUUUAAUUUUGAAAUAAAUCACUUAUGGGUUGCCAAAUUAAAUUAUGGUCCAUCCAUGGCAAUAAGGGGGUCUCAGAAUCACUAGGCUCAAAUGUACCAAAUUUAAUGAAGAAUGUACCAAAUUUUGUGAAGGAUGUAACAAAGGUCCGAAAAUGUGUUCUGAAGUGAGGAUCGACCCCCAAUCAUUUUGUUAUGGGUUUCUUAAAGAAAUUAUGGACCAUCCAUGUUGAAAUGGGGGUAUCGGAAUUGAUCGGAUCGGAUGUACCAAAUUUAAUGAAGGAUGUACCAAAUUUUGUGAAGAAUGUACAAAGGGUCCAAAAAUGCGUUCUGAAGUGGGGAUCGACCCCCAAUCACUUUGUUAUGGGUUUCUAAAAGCAAUUAUGGACCAUCCAUGUUGAAAUGGGGGUCUCGGAAUCUAUCAGAUUGGAUAUACCAAAUUUAAUGAAGGAUGUACCAAAUUUAAUUAAGGAUGUAUCAAAUUUUGUUAAGGAUGUACCAAGAGCUCCAAAGUGGGAUCCGAAGUGGGGAUCGACGCCAAAUCACUUUGUUAUGGGUUUCUAAAUGAAAUAGUGGCUCAUCCAUGGUCAGAAGGAGGUCCCGGAAUCACUAGGCUCGAAUGUACCAAAUUUAAUGAAGGAUGUACCAAAUUUUGUGAAGGAUGUACCAAGGGUUCGAAAAUGCGUUCCGAAGUGGGGAUCGACCCCCAAUCACUUUGUUAUGGGUUUCUUAAAGAAAUUAUGGGCCAUCCAUGUUGAAAUGGGGGUCUUGGAAUCCAUCAGAUCGAAUGUACCAAAUUUAAUGAAGAAUGUACCAAAUUUAAUUAAGGAUGUACCAAAUUUUGUUAAGAAUGUACCAAGGGUCCAAAAAUACGUUCUGAAGUGGGAAUCGGCCCCAAAUCACUUUGUUAUGGGUUUUUAAAUGAAAUAGUGGCUCCUUCAUGGUCAGAAAGGGGUCCCGGAAUCACUAGGCUCGGAUGUGCCAAAUUUAAUGAAGGAUGUACCAAAUUUUGUUAAGAAUGUACCAAGGGUCCGAAAAUGCUUUCCGAAGUGGGGAUCGACCCCCAAUCACUUUGUUAUGGGUUUCUAAAUGAAAUUAUGGACCAUCCAUGUUGAAAUGGGGGUCUCGGAAUCUAUCAGAUCGGAUAUACCAAAUUUAAUGAAGGAUGUACCAAAUUUUGUUAAGGAUGUACCAAUGAGAUAUGAUUUCUAAAAAUUUAUUACAAAUAUGUGGUGGCAAUUUUUCUAUUAAAAUUAAUUUAUUUAAAUAAUUAAAAUUAUCAAUCAUUUAUCUAAUCAAAUUAAUUUUAAGUUAUAAAAUAUUAGGACUUCAUUAUAUUUUUUGUUAUAUUGUAGCAUAUUCUAAGUACAACUAUUUUUGUAAUAUUUAAAAAUACAAAAUUUUGAAAUUAAAUAAAAGUAAACGGAUAAAUAAAAAAAAUUAUUAAUGAGCUAAAUAAAAAAAGUAGUUAAAAAAAUUAAGAUAAUAAAAAAUAAAUUGAAAAUUAAACAAUUAAAUUUUUUUUAAAAUGAUAAAUAUUUAGAAACAAUCUAUGAUUUUGAAUCAACAAGGAAUCAUUUCCAACAUUUAUUUCAUAUGAACAUCAAGGGCCAACCUUUUAAGCAAUCGGUAUGCCUCCAUUUGCCUUACUACCCAACCCACACCUCAACUCUAGUCAUCCUAAAGGCAUGCCUCUAAUAGAGAGUCAUGUCUUUCUUUUUCCUACUGCAAGUAGCUUAACAAAAAGAAGUUUUUCACCCACAUUUAUGUGUCUUCCAUCAAGGUUUUGCUCUUAGGUUGACUACUGCACAUAGCCUACCAAUAUAAUGGUUUUAGCAAUAGGCAUGCCCCUAAAAUCAAGGGUGUGCCCCUACUUUGCAUACUGCAUAUAGAAUUUCCCAAUAAAGUUAUCGUACCCAUGGGCAUACCUAUGCAACCAAGGGUGCACCCCUACUUUGCCUUCUGCAUGUAGCAUAGUUAUAUAAUAUCAUUAACACAUAGGCAUGCCUUUCAAAUGGAAGGUGUGCCCCUAGAUUGCCUUCUGCACAUAACAUAUUAAGCUAAUGUUCGAAUGCCUUCCCAUGGUGUUAAUGGUUCAACCUCCCUUUUCAAGACACCUCACAUAACACGAAACCAAUUUUAAAGACAAAAAACGAUAGGGUUGCCUAUGAUCUAACAAGCACAACCUUAUUUUGGCUACUGCCCAUUUCACACAAAACUAAAUAAUAUGCUUAAGGGUCAUUAGCCAAAAAGCAGUAGCCCCUACAUGUAAAGGUUGGCCACGAUUAUGCCCACUAGUUAACAAUCUUGUUUUUUUUCCAAGGACGUCAUAUGAAUCUAAGUCACUUCAAUGCCAUCUUUGAACAAUAAUGACCAAGGUACAUAUUUUACUAUUACAAUUACAUUAUCAUGUAACAUAUCUCAUAAUAUUGAAGAACAACAUACAAUCACAAUAUAUGUACACCAAACACUUCAAAUCCAAUAAAUUACUCAUUGCUUAUAAUCAAGGAAACAACAAUGAAGAUUACCAAACUAUUUCAUACUAAUAUAAAGUCGAUCUUACAUUAUGAAGUUCAAUAAAAGAAAACUUACAACAAUGGGUUAUUACAUGUCGCACGAUUAUGCCCAGGCUGAUUACAACGAGAACAAUGAACCGUUUUUUUUUACAUGAAUUGAGACUCGAUUCGACGUUUCCUAGGUCUUCCAAGAGGUCGCUUUGUGGUUGGAGGAUUAAGAAAGGGAUAAGUAUGACCCAAGGCAUCACGAACGGUUCUAUCUUCAUCAAUCAUUGGCAUAUCAUGCGUUACCAAAGUACGCAUGCUUCCAGAGUAUAUCUUCUCUUGCAAAUUGUACUUAUACCAGUCAUCAACAUAAUCAGAUACGUCAAACCCCAUUCACCGUAUAGCUGCACAAGCAUGAUCACAUGGGAUUCCAAACAUUUGCCAUGCUUUACAUGUGCAAGUUCGCUCCAUUAAGUCCACCUCCAGGAAUGCUUUUCCAUUGGAUACUUUCAUCAAACUACCCAAGUGUAAAUAAGUGAUAUAAUUUUCACCUUUUCCAAUGUUCAAUGCAAUCUUUUCUUCUGUUUUAGGACCAAUACACCCAUUCCAUUUUACAAGUCCAUUUUUAUGCUCGACUAAAAGAGAUCCUAACUUAUCCAUAUGCUCGAUGAAGAAAACACAAAUGUUAUGGUGUCGUUCAUGUCUUAACCAAGACUUGAAAGACUCAGCCAAAUUACUUAUCAUCUUAUCCCAACCCAUCUUCUUAAAUUUAGAGAUUGCCCAAUGUUAAGGGUUAUUUUCUUCAAUCCACUUCGCCAAAUCAUGAUUAAAUGUCCUUAAAGUAUCCAUUGCAACCUCAUAAUCACAAUCUAACCUAGCAUAGGCGAUAGAAUCAAGCAUUUGCAAAGCAUUUUCCUUUCCUUUCCUCCCUUUAGUGUUCAGCUUUGUUAGAAAGCUACUGAAGUUUUCUUUAAUGUGACGAUAGCAAUGUGCAUGGUUUUCACUACCAAAUACCUCUGAAACACUACGGAUAAUCCCUUGGUGCCUAUCAAAUAUUAUUAUAACAUCUCUUUCACCUAUGACCAUCUUCAAUUUCUCUAAAAACCAAAGUCAAUCCUCGUAAUUCUCAAAGCUAAAUAAGCCAUAAGCAAGUGGAAACAUGUCAUCGUCAGCAUCAUAGGAAGAAGCUAAAAAUAAAGCACCCUUGUAUGGCCCACUCAUGUGGGAUGAAUCUAUUGAUAUAAUAGGCCGACAUCCCAGUUGAAACCCAUGUAUUGACACUAAAAGGGCAACAAACAAUUGCAUAAAAUGACCAUCAUCCGAACAUCUAUAUUCAACAAUCGUCCCUGGAUUUGUUUCAAUAAGCCUUGUACAUAACCAAGGUAACAACUUAUAUGAACAUUGCGGCACACCAUGAAUUCGUUCUUUAGUCUUCUCUUUCAAGUUCCAUGCUUGACAAUAAUUCAAUUGCAUUCCGUAUUGUCGAUGAAAGUCUUUACAUAUUUGAUGGGGUAAGUAAUCUGGAUUUGAACGAAUAACAUCAUCAAUCAUAGCUGUGGCUCGAUUACAAUGAACUACUGGUUCGAAAAUUGACACAUCUUCUAAAGAGUGGUUAUGUUCAUUUCUAAAUGUAUGCACUUGAACUAUUUUUGUUCUCCCAACAACACAAGCAGUUACUUUCCAAGGGCAUCCUUCAACAACACAUAUUACAGUCAUAUGCUUAAGACAAUUCCUCUUAAACUUAUAUCUAAAAUGGCCUCCUACUGACAUGAGAUAUAUUGCAUCCCGAAAUUCAUUUGCAGUUGAGAAGGUAUGCCCACUACCCAAUAUUGCACUCUCAAAACGGCUUGACUCUAGUGGACCAACAUGUGAUUCAGCACAUCUUUGAUGAAAUCCUCGUGAUUGCAUUCUAAUAUCAACAUCUCUUGUUGAAUAUGGGACCGGUGAGUUAGACCCUACGAUUGUUUCGUUCAAGCUGCAUUAUAACAUCUAAUGAAUAAACAUAAAUAUUACAAAAUAAAUAAAUACAUGGAAUCAUUUAAGAUUAUACAUUUUUUUUAUAUAACUUACCCUUGUCCUCCAUUCUCAAUCGUUUCAUCGUCUUCAACUGUUGAUACUAAACAUAUAUAUACACGUGCACAUCGGUCACUAAAUUGAAACAUAUUUGUCAAGUCUUCAUCAUUUUUCAAUGGUUGAAGUGCAUAUAAAUCAAACGGGAGAGUAUAUGAAAAUGUUGGUCCCACUAUAUUGAUGUUCAUUUUCCCACAAAUCCUUGAAACAAAAUCAUUAUAUGUCAUUGAUCGUUCUAAACUUAGACCCUCUCGUCUCCCACCCAUAUAUUUCACAUUGCCAUGUUCAUCCCUUACUAGCUCUCCUCCAAUGUGCAGAUAACAAUAAAUUGUAUUACUUGGAUCCAUUUAAAUGCUACUCGAUCAUGUGCAACCUCUAUUUAGAAGCAUGAACCUUUAGUCAAGCUGAAACAAUUAACUAAUUUCUUAAUAACACUACAUAAACCAACUUACUUAUAAAAAAACUGAUUAUCAUGCUUACAACCAUCAUAUAUUAAUACAUCGUUUAUCUUUGAAGCAUGGUGUAAAUAUAGACAUGCAUAGUGUAUACUUAACAUUAAGCAAUGCAAUUAUUCUAUUUUACUUCGUAGUAAUUUGCUAUGUUAUAUAAGUUAGGGAGUGAACCUCUCAAUUCAUGGGCUAACCAUUGUUUUGAUAACUCUUCAAGCCAAAUUGUGCUAAUGUCACUCUUUUCGGGCCACCCCCUCAAACAAUGGGUCGACCUUUAUUUUGCCCACUGCCCAAAUUUAAUCACAACAAUGUUACAACCAAGGGCCGACCUCCAAACAAUUGGGUCAGCCCUUAUUUUGCCCACUGCCCAACUUAAACCACAAUAAUGUUUACAACCAAGGGCUGACCUCCAAAAAAAUGAGUCAACCUUUAUUUUGCCCACUGCCCAGAUUAAACCACAACAAUGUUUACAACCAAGGGCCGACCUCCAAACAAAUGGGUCAGCCUUUAUUUUGCCUACUAUCCAGAUUAAACCACAACAAUAUUUACAACUAAGGGCCUACCUCCAAAAAAAUGGGUCAGCCUUUAAUUCACUUACUGCAACCUCUUACGAAAACAAUAAUUUCAUACAAAUGUCAUUAACUGAAUUACGGCCAACCCCUUCAUCCAAGGGUAGACCCUUACUAUGACCACUACACACAUAAACAAAACAAAUUUCAUAUUUGUGGUUGUGACCAUCAAUUUUGAACCUAAGGCUCCAAUACUAUUUUCCCUAAUUCCCACAUAAAUUCAUGCCCGCUUUACUAAAUUUGUUUUAUUUUCUUCUUCAAUUCAACCCUUAUUCAUUACAAAUUCAAAACUUUUAUUAAGAAAUUUAUUCAAACUUUAAUCUCAAUCAUUUUUAAAAUUUAUACUCAUCUACUCAUGACUAAACAUGAAUUCUUUUCCAAUGCAUUAGAUUCACCAAUUAACAACUAUAAAAGAUCACUCAAAUUACUCAUUUUGGAAUCCCAGAUAAACAACAUUAAACAACAAAACAUCUCAAAUCCCAUAUAAACAAUAUUAAACAACAAAUUGUUUGACCAUUCCUAAAAAUUGUAUUCCCUUCACAUGCAAUAGUCAUAUUUUUCUUCUCUUUUCCAUAUUCUUCCCAACAACCACAUACAACACAAACACAACAAUUCAGAAAAUAAAACAAAAUCAAUAUAGCUUACCACCAUCUCAUUUUCCCAUUAUUUAUCAAAUUUUAAACCAUAUUUCAUUUCAAAUAAACCCUAAAUAAAUUAAAAUAUAAAUUUAGAUACAAUAUUAAUGGACAUUGAACAUGUAGAAAUAUGCAAUGUAAUCAAGUUUAAAUCACAAAAUUGCACAAAUCACAUAACUAUGACAUUAUUCAAAUCUCAAAGAAUCAAAAUGACAAAUCAAAAUAUAAAGUUAUUACAAAAUUUAAUAACAUAUAUAUAUAUAUUACCUGGAAAAACCCUUGCUUUAAAAGUUAAAUGCAACUACAAUAUUUUUAUUCUUCGUUAUCUCGUUCUCUCAAUUGCUUUCUUUCUCCUUUUUCAAUGUAAAAGCAAAAUAGGAAGUACAACCAGGAGAAAAAUGACUGUCACUCCUAAAAUAAGAAGGAAAUGUGUUUUUUUGUCUACCUGGCCUUUGUUAAGGGGUUCGCACUUGGACUUUUGUUUUCAGAUUGAUGUUUGGUGGGAAAAUGAAUAUGUCGUUUUCCUUAUGGUGAUGGAGGAGAAACAAAAUAAGAGAUCAAGUUUGGAGGUUCGUUUGGGGUUGAUGGGUUAUCGCGAUUUGAGAACCUACCAGAUUUUUUAUGGAUCCUUUCGCCUUGUGAUGGGUUAUGCCUGUGAACGAAUAAGAAAGAACAUGGGUUUUUAGUGUUAGGGUUUGGUUGAAGAAAGAAGAAGAUAUUUGGGGGUAAAUAUUGUUUAAAACAUCAAUCCAUGUGGAAUGUCUAGCUAGUCAAUGACAUGUAACUGAGCCAUGUCACUGGCUUAAGUGGACAACAAACAACUUAUCCAACUAGGAGAGAUGUCAAACUAUAGGAGGGUAUUUUUGGAAGGGUCUCAACAUCACUAUUACAGUGUAUGAAAGGUUGUUUAUUUUCCACAAAAUUCAUUGAAUUUGAAAAGUAAAAAGUAAAGUUUCCAAAAGGCAAAAUUUUGCCCCUUGGUAUAUGGUUACAUAAAUUCCCCAAUUAUUUAUUUUAUUUAUUCCAACUUACAAAAGUAGAAAAUCUCCAAGUGUUUCGAUAUAAGCAAAAUAAAUGUUAUAACACAUUUUUUUCCAUACAAAAAUAUAUUUGAUUCAUGCUUAAAAGCAAAAUUAACAAUUACACAUUUCAAACAACAUAUAUAUAUAUAUAUAUAUAUAUAUUAUUUUCUUUUACAAAAUUUGUAUUAAUUUCCUUUACCUCAAAAGAAGUCCUCAAAAACUUUGAAGAAAAAUAAUUCUGGGAAAUCUACUAUUCACCUAACAAAGAAUAAGAGAAAUAACAAUUACUAUUUAUCCAAAAUUAUAGAUUUGAAAAUCCUAAAAUAUUAUGUAUUCAAAUUAAUGUUUUUAAUUAUGAAAGAUAAUUUAAUCUAUUCCUAUUUUAGAAAAAUUAAUAAAUUUCUAAUUUAUAUAAAACUUAAAUUUUAUUUUCAAUUUAUUUCUUAGGAUACAACAUAAUUUAAUUAAACUACAAUUUAUUUCACUAAUUAAAUUUUAUGUUAUUUAUCAACUUAAUAUUUAUCAUUAAUCUAAUUAUAAUACUAUAAAUUUAACUAAUUUAUACUUCACCUCGUUUUAUUUAUACAUAAUUUAUUAUAUCAUUUUCAUAUUUUCCAAAUAUAACUACCAUAACAACACUCACACAACUACCAAUAUAAUAUAUAUAAAUAUAUAUAUCAUCCACCACACUCACACACUCCACACACUGUGCCUUCUUUAUUAUUAUUAUUUUCAUCAUUCUUCAUUCUUCCUCACACAAGCAUUCUUUUUUUCUCUUUUUUUUUAAUGGCCACUGUGCACACUAUCUCAUUAUUAUUAUUAUUAUUAUUAUUAUUAUUAUUCACUUUUAGAAAUCACCCGAUACAUUGAAAUCUUAUAAUUUUUUUUUCUUCAUUAUAUUUUCUAAUCACUUAAGCCACAUAUAAUCAUAUAUUUAUUUACUCAUUUAAUUUUUGAAAUUUCAUUGCUUAGAUCUAUUUAUCUAAUAAAUUUUGAAUUUCCCUAUUUUCAUCGAUGGAACAACCUAUAUUUAUAAUUUUAGUAUUUUGACCUAAAGAUUUUAAAUAUAUUAACCCUAGCCUAAAUCGAAAUCUUCCAAAGAAUUUUUAUUUAUUUUUAAUCUAAAAACUUAAGAUUUCCCAAUUUCCAACAAUAAAUCAACCCAUAAUCUUAAAUUUCCAAUCUUUUGAUAUUAAAAUGAAUUAAAAAAAUAAACUAACCCUAAUCUAAAUUAAAAAAAUUUUAAAGAAUAUCUAGCGUGUUUGGAACUAACUAACGAAUAUAAUAUAUUAAUUUAGGAUUAAAAUCUUACUUGAAAAAAUUUGAACUUCUAAACCUAGAACCCUACGAUCUUUAAUUCUCUAAUUUGAUCGAUAAGGUUUUCUGAAUAAAGAAAGUAAGAGGAAAAUCUAAUUUAUACAUAGGAUUAUUAAUGGUAAAAAGAAUCUUUCACCUUUAAUGAGUUUAAUUAAUUAAUUAAUUAAUUUGUAAUUUACUAUUUUGCCCUAAGAGUUAAUUUUGGGGUGUUACAUCUAGCGUUUCCUAUUCUUCAAUUAAUGGAAAAUGUGAAGAAAGAAAGUUUAUUCAAGAGGAGGGAUGAGAGAACAAAUUGUGCUAUAACAGAACUUGUUUUCUCAAAUUUUUCUCUAAUCUUUUAUUUUUAUCAGAGCAGAGAGUCUAGACUGUUUUGAUGAUGGUGGACUGGCUAUGAAAUUAACAAUUAAAAAAUUUAGGGAUAACCGAUUAAAAGGGACAAAAAUCCCUCAAUAUUGCAAAACUAACCCUUUACUUAUUUAAGUCUCAAAAAUGACCCAAUUCGGACAAAAAUACCCCAUCAGUUAUCUUUUCAGCCCUUUUUCCCUCCAACUCCAAUUUUCUGUUGUGUUGUGUCUCUUCCUUACCCUGCAAACCCAUUUGUUCCAUCUGUUAACCUACGAGAAAGAAAUCACGAAGGAUUUUUCCGUUUAUUGCAAUAAAACAAAAAGGCAACACAAUACAAAGAAAAAACAGAAAGUAAGUUUCACUGUUUCAUUCUUUGAUUUUAGUUUUUCGAACUGUAUAUAUGAAUCUUCAUCCAUGAAAUGAGAAGAAACCCUAAGUGUCUUAUUUUGGUUCUUAUUUUAUUUUAUUUUUUUGUAAUCAAACCCUAUUUUUCAUCUUUCUGAUAUUGUGUGUUGAUUCAGUUCAUGAAAAUGGAGGAAGAAAAAAAUUCGGUGACGAAAAAUACGAAACAGAAGAGGUAUAAAAUUUUGGGAAAAAAAAAAGUGAAAGAAAGCUAGGUUUUGAAACCUCGUCAUCGUCAUCAGAAAAUGAGAAGAAAUCAACUGAUUCAGUAAGCAUUAAUUUUCUACUUGAAAUUUUGAUUUUUAAUUUUUUUUUUUUAAUUUUAUCAUUUUUAAUAGAUUUUUUUUUAUGAAUUUAUUUUUCAUGAAUUGAUAAUCUAAUUGUUGGAAAUUUUCUCAGUGAGGUUAUAGUCCAAGGUUUAAAGCAAUAUUUGAAUGAUUAGAAAAAACUAAACUUAACUACUAUCAAGUUUACCAUCAAAAGGUUUUGAAAUUUUGUGUAAUGAAGUUAUUUGUUAUGAAUUUAUAACGUAUUUGAAUAUAAUUUUUAUGAAAUUAUUUUAUCCAAAUAUUUAGAAUUUUGAUUUAAAUAUAUAUGUUAAGAAAAAACUGAACUUAACUGCUAUCAAGUUCAUUGUCAACAGGUUGCAAUUUCAAAAUGGUUUUGUUUUGUUUCAAAUUUCAAUAAACACUAGAAUAAUGUCUCUAAUUUUUUGUAGCUGCAACUUAGUAAAAUAUAAUAGCUUCAAUUGCAUUAGUAAAAUAAUAUCUUUAGAAUAUUAGCAUUUGACAUGACAUUCUUAAAUAAUAGGAAAAUAAAGUCUAUGUUAAGAAGUAAUACAAAAUGAUGGAUUUAACAUAGUUGGAUAAGUUUGGUAAUAUAAUUUUGCUCAAUUUAUAUUAAUAUUUUUACAAUUUGUUAUUAUCUUGCAAAUUGACAUUCCUCCUCCUCUCCUAUCUUUUAUAUCUAAAAUAUCUAAAGAGGAGUACUUUCCUGGAAAAAUUGCAUGUUUGUCUCACUUGGUAGCCAUUGAAAAUAUUAAGAAGAAAUUGACCGAACCACAAUUGGAGAUGUUUAGAAAAUCAUGUUUUGGUCAUUUUUUACUCCUUCCCGAACUUAGAUUUUCAGCCCAAAUUGUUCAUCAAUUGUUGUUACAUCAAUGUGAAACCAAAAAAGACAAUGAAAUAUGGAUUUUAUUAAAGUCAAAGGGCUUAAGAUUUAGUAAAGAAGAGUUUGCAUUGAUUACGGGCUUGAGUUUUGGUCCUAUUACAAAAUGUGAUAAAAAAUCAUUACGAAUAAGGGACACAUACUUUAAAGGAGAAAACAAGGUGCGUAAUGAUGAGUUGGAGAAAGUUUUUCUUUCUUUAGGAGAGAAAAAGAAUAAGAAUAAGAAAAUAAAAAAAGAAUUUGAAGAUGAAGAGGUGAUAAAGUUGGCACUUUUGUAUUUUUUUAGAGCAUGUUUUAUUUGGGAAAUAAGGAAAAAAUUUAAUAGAUAUGGAAUAGGUUGCUUUGGUUGAUAAUUUGGAGGCUUUUAACAAGUAUCCGUGGGGGGGAUUUUUAUGAGAGGACACUAUUUGGUUUGCAAAGAGCUUUGGAGAACCGGGUAUCCAAAUACCAAGAUAAAAAGAAAGCAAAUGGAGAAGUUGCAGUUGAAGCAUAUAGUCUUGUUGGAUUUCCAUAUGCAUUCCAGGUUUGGGCAUACGAGGCUAUUCCACUUAUUGGAUUGAAAUAUGCCACUCGUGUAUCUGAGAGCUAUCCUCGAAUAUUAAAUUGGAGUGCAACAAGUGCUCCAAGGUCUACUGAGGUUGAAAAUGUAUUUCUAAAGCCUCAUGUAAGUAAUUCUUUACCUUUAAAUUUUAAGAAUGCAAUUAUAAAUAUUAUUGUAUUGUUGUUUAUUAACAAUUAUAUUUGAUUUGGACUUUGUAGUUAACUUUUCAUUCACUUCUAACACCCACUUUAGAGGAGCAACAACAAGACUAUUACAAGCAUGUAGAUAAACAAGGAGCUUCAGCAAAAAUGUUGCACCAAUCAAAUGCCUCACAAGAUGCCAAGAAGGAUGACUUAAGGCAUGAAAAAAGCUCAUCUGACACUGCUGCAUAUGUUGUUGUUGCUACUGCUGUAAUGGCAGAAGAAACAACAAAUGAUGCAGUUGUCCCAUCAAUAGAGGAAACUUAACCUAAACUUAGCCAUCAUAAAUAAUGCAUGCAUGUUUUUUUUUUUUGGUACUUUAUUUAAUAUAAGAUGUUCAUUCCAUAAUUAACAUGUGGAACCUGACCUUAACUAUAAAUAAACUUAUAGGAAGUUAAGUUUGUAGGGAUCAUGAAAAAACCUAAAUUUAACAAGUGUGUUAUUUCAAAGUGAACAAACUUGUCAUAAUAUAUAUAUAUAUAUAUAAAUAUUGUAAGUGUUAAAUUUUUAUUUCAUUUACGUGCAAUAUGUGCAGAAAUUAUGGAUGGAGUUUGUGAAAUUCAGACAAAGCUCAGAGUUAAAUUUCAAUCAUCUAAAGAAAGAAAUUGAAGGACUCAACUUGAAGAUGGAUGAAUUGAAACAACUUUUAUUAGAAGUUAGUGACAUGUUUACUUGUUUAAAUUUUAUAAUACUUCAAUGUUUUGACAUUUAUGUUUUCUCAUAUUUAUUAUUAUUGGGUGGUGUAUGCAAUUUUAGGUUAAGAGUUCGAAUAAGGAACAUGGUAUGCAUGACACUAGAUUCAGAAAAUCUAGUACAAAAGAAAAUGAUAACAAUAUGGGCUUUGAUUUCCAGACUGGAAUUUUUGAGGAUGUUACAGAUGAUGAAGUGGAGAGGAAUGACAUUCCCAUGGAUGUGAACAUUGAUAUGGAAGCUUUUAGAAACCUUCAGCUUGCAGAAAAACACAUGACUAAAGAGUUGAAAGAUGACUACUCUAUUGAUGAUCCAGUUAUUGAUAUUGCCAAGUUGUUUGGUACCCCAACUAUGUCAGGCGAGUUUUCAGUAUAUGUCAUACCUCACCAUCUAUCUCCUACCAUUUUUAAGCGAAGGCGUAAGAUUAAAAAGUCUCAUAUCUUGCAACACCCUUUUACAGAUCCCACAAAGAGAAAGAAACUAAGAAAAGAGAUUGAAAAACCAUUAACUUCAUUUGAUCCUUUGCGUCCAAUCUCUGAAGAAGCAUUAGAGUCCUUUCAAAAGUGGAUGAGUGAUGACCAAGGGUAAGUUGUAUACAUCCAUACUUGUAAAUUUGUGUUCUUCACAAGUUAUAAAAUUACUAAUGUUUUUUUUUUUUUUUUUAUGUCAAAGGUCCACAAUUGACAUUGACUACAUGCAUAUAGAUAAAAAAAAAAUGGUUUCAAUCAUUGUCUAAUCAUGGUUCAUGGCUUGCUGACAUAGUUUGUAAAAUAUGAAUUUGUUUUUAUUUUUAUUUAUUAUUAUGUUCAGCUUACAACCAAAUAAUAUAACUAAUUUACUUUAUUGUAAUUGUUAGCACAUUGAUGUUGCCUUCUUCUUUUUCCGGAAGCGGCGAAUAGAAAAUCCUCAUCUUUUUUCCCAAAAGUUUACCACAGUGGAUACUAUGUUUUGGGUAUGUGUAGUUUGAAUUUUAGUUAUCAUUUUUAAUUUUUUUGUAAUAAUGAAUCUUAUGAUCUUGGUUAUUUAUUUAUGUAUGUUAACUUUAUUCUAUGUAGCAAAAUGCUCAAGCAAGAUGGAUUAAGCAUGUCAAGAAGUGGAACCAAUUCAAAUUACCAGAGAAUGACAUCCUUAUUGAUUAUGCCAAUGGUUUGCAACCUCUUUAUUCUGUCAAAUGGCCUGAUGUUGACAUUGUGUAUGUCCCUAUCAAUGUUUGGGCUAGUCACUGGGUAUUAGGAGUUGUCCACCUUCAUCGAAGGAUUAUAUACGUAUAUGACUCAUUGAUGGGCAUCAAUAAUAAUGCAAGAUUGCAAGUUGCCAUUAAACCAUUAGCCAAAUUGUUGCCGCAUAUAUUGAAUGCAAUAGCAUAUUAUGGUUUUCAUGGUGACACAAAAGUUAACUACCAGGAAUGGGAAAUUGAAUGGCUGCAAGAUAUUCCUCAACAAGAAAAUGAGUAAGUGAUCUUAAAUUUACUUUCAUAACUUAUACACUUAAUCUUUAAUAAUAACCCUAACAUUGAUUAUCUGUGUACCAUGCAAUGGUGAUUGUGGCAUGUUUGUUAUCAAAUAUGUUGAAUACUUAAUGCACAACCAUCCAUUGAAGUCAUUAACAAGUGCACGAAUGGACUGGUUUCGGGAAAAGAUGGCAACAGAGUUAUUUUAUAUGAAAUACUUGCCUAUGUAAUGAAUUCAUGUUGAUAUUUCACAUUUUGAUAAUGUAGUUGGAUGGUUUGUUAUAUGUAAUUGGAUAGCUUCAUAUAUGUAGUUAGACAUUUUGAUAAAUGUAGUUGGACAAGUUGAUAUAUCUACCUGGAUAUUUUGAUGAAUGUUGUUCGAUAGUUAUGUAUACAAUUGACCUUUUAAACUAAACUUCAAUGUUGUCAAGUUGUUAUGUGUACAAACUUGGAUGUAGUUAAGUCCAUAGUCUUAAUAGAACACAUGAACUUAACUACUAUCAAGUUAACUAAGAACCAACUUGACAGAUAUUAAGUCGAAAUCUAUUCCAGAAUAACAUAUUUAAUCUGGACUUAACAGGUAUCAAGUUGAUCUUCUAUAGACUCAUAGGAGGUUGUGUCUACAAUUGCCAUUUUUACCUGAACUUAACUAUUGUUAAGUUAUUUUAUGAACAAACUUGAAGGUAGUUAAGUCCACAGUCUUCAGACAAAACCUGAACUUAACUAUUGUCAAGUUGUUUUAUGAACAAACUUGAAGGAAGUUAAGUUCACAGUCUUCAGACAAAACUUGAACUUAACUAUUGUCAAGUUGUUUUAUGUACAAACUUGAAGGUAGUUAAGUCCACAGUCUUUAGACAAAACCUGAACUUAACUAUUGUCAAGUUGUUUUAUGAACAAACUUGAAGGUAGUUAAGUCCACAGUCUUUAGACAAAACCUGAACUUAACUAUUGUCAAGUUGUUUUAUAUAUAAACUUGAAGGUAGUUAGGUCCACAGUCUUUAGACAAAACCUGAACUUAACUAUUGUCAAGUUGUUUUAUGUACCAACUUGAAGGCAGUUAAGUCAACGGUCUUUAGACAAAACCUGAACUUAACCAUUGUCAAGUUGUUUUAUGUACAAACUUGAAGGUAGUUAAGUCUACAGUCUUCAGACAAAGCCUGAACUUAACUAUUGUCAAGUUCCUUAUCAAUAAACGUGAGAACAGUUGAGUCCAUAGUUUGAGAAUAAACAUGUAAUUUUCAUUCAUACUUUAUACAUAACUCAUCAUAACAUAUAUGUACAAAAGUAACAAAUAUCUCCAUUUCUAUGGGUAUGCAAAAAAAAGGGAUCAUUAUUACAAUAUUCAUCUAUGUGCUUAUCCUAUCACCUUAUACAAAAAAGUAACUUACAUUUCUGUUCACAUGGGUACCAAAAAAACAAAAAAGCUCACUAUUACAAUUUUCAUUCCAUGUAAGUUCAUAGAGUGCCAAAGCUAUCAUGAUAUCAAGGGAUUGGUCGUUUGCAUGUUUUUCGAUUAUGCCCAUAUUGACCACAUCGACUACAACGAGAUGUGCUCUUGCCCUCUCCACCAAAAGGAAUUCUUACUUUCCUUGGUCUUCCUAUUGGGCAUCUCGUCUUUAGGUGGUAACACAACUUUGUCACGAAUAUGAUUAGGUACUACCCAAUCUAUUUCAUUUCCAGUUGGAUGAAUACACUCUGAAUAUGAAGAUAACAAUGUUUUAGUAGUAAAAUACUUGAAGCACAAAGUGUAACAUGAAAUGUUGUAAAAUCUACAAGCAGCAAUAGCAUGUGCACAUGGAAUAUGAUCAAGAUCAAAUUGUCGACAUUUGCAUGAACGAGUGUCUAAAUUCACUUGAGCACUAAUGCCAGCAUAGUUAACAUUACACUCCUUGGAGUUGAUAGGUUCCACUAGAUAUGUUGCUGACAUAUUAUACCUAGAACGAAGUUCUCCAUCAGCCCACAUGGUAAGUUCAGUUGACAUUGACAUUGCUUGUUGUUGACGAGUCACAAACCAUUUUUGAAGUAAGUUUCUCAAUUCUUCAACCAAUUGCAAAACUGGAAGAUCUCUAGCAUUUUUCAACACAGCAUUAAGGCUUUCAACGAUCCUUGUUGUCAUGAUAUUAUAUCUUUUUCCGAUAGAAUAUGAACGUGCCCAUCGAUCAACACCUAUAUCCAUCAAAUAUCUUGCUGCUCUUGGGUCAAUCAUCUCUAGUUGCCCAAAUAUAAAAUUAAACUUUGAAACACGAUAAGCAUGGGCAGCAUCAUGGAACAACUUAUGAAUUGCAGGAUUCUUGAACUUUGUCUUCAAAUUUUGUCCAACGUGAUAAGUGCAGACACCAUGCCUCGCAUGGGGAAAUGCUUUAUGUAUUGUUUUCUCAAUGCUACCAUGUCGAUCUGAUAUCACAAACAAAUCAUCAAUGUGUCCAAGUGCAUCAUGUAGUUUUUGUAAAAACCACUCGCAUAAGGCAUCAUUUUCGGAAUCACCAAUCCCAAAGGUUAAAGGGUAUAUCUGAUUGUUGCCAUCUUUACACCCUGCAAUAAAUAAAGCCCCUAAGCACUUUGCUUUCAAAAAUGUCCCAUCAACUGCAACCACAGGCCUUAUUGAUGUGUGAAACCCAACAAGAGAUGCACCAAUCGACAUAAAAAAGUAUUUGAAUUGAUUAUCACAAUCAGUAACUAUAUCAGUGAUGGUACCAGGAUUUUUUUGCUCUGAAACAUAGCAAUAUGAUGGUAAAGUGUUAUAAGACUCCUCAGGUGAUCCCCUAAUAGAACCUAGAGCAAGUUCUUUGGCUCUCCACGUCUUAUCAUAACUGAUUUGAAUGCCAUACUGCUUUUGAAUGUCUGCUACAAUGUCUUUUGGUCAAAAUUCACAACCAACCCCUUGAUAUGUUUCUCUUAUACUCUCACCAAUCAACCAACUACUUGCAUGUCGAUUGUCACGAGACAUCAUAUCUAACCGACAAGUGUGUGUUGAAUAGAAUUUCAUUAUUUGAAACAUAUUGGAAAUCCCCAACUUGGUAGCACGAACUUGCCACUUGCAUUCUUUAUCAAAACAUUCAACAAGCAAUAACUUAGUAGUAGAUUUAGUUGUCUUGAACUCAAACUUCCUUUUCAGAGCCAUCAUAUGCAACUUCCUUUGUAAUUCUUUCUUACUUGAGUAAAUUUGGUGUUCUUCUAGAUGGUCAUCACUAAUUCCACUAACUAUAGGUUGUUGCAUCAUGUUUUGUCUUUCAUUUGCUACAUCUUCGAUUAUAGUGGGAUUGUCAUGUAUGAACCCAUCACUUGUAUCAAUCAUGGUCAAGAUUUAUGCACUCUGAGUUGAACCAGUUCUGAAUGAGCCAAUUUGGGUCACUUGCUUAUCACUAGUAGGGUUAGUAUUCAUUCUAUAAUCCUCCUCAUUAAUUGUAGUCUCAUUCAUGUUCCAAUCAUGAACUUUAUACCCUUCAGGUGACUCAUUUUGAAAUCUUUGUCCAUUUUCACCAUCAACAGUAAGAGUUUCAACUGAAUCACAAUGAAUGUGUCUACUUUUAUGCAUCAACAUUGAGUCCCCAUUCAAUUCUUUAUCAAUCUCAGAAGACAUAUGACAUUCGAAAUAAGAAUUGCAAAUUGAUUUCUGAUUGUGAUUAUCAAUUCGCUUUUCAACUGUGAUGCACAAUGGAACAAGCAGCUUACCAUUUGUACAAUUUAAACCAAUAAAGAAUUUCACAUCCCCAUCAUCAGUUAGUUGUAUAGGACUUGUGGGUAUGUUGGCAUUGAAUACAUACUUCAUUGAAAGAAAACAAUUUGUUGGAUCUAGCUUCAGAAUAUGAUGGACAACCCCUAAUAACUCUUUAUAUGAUAUAGUUUUCGGGAUCUCAAUGCCUUUACCUUUACUUCCUUCGAAAUAGAAAACAUUUCCAUCUCGUACCCAUUCUCCUUUAUAUAAAAGCAUUAUUCCUACUUCAUCAACCACUGAAAUAACAGAAUAAUUCAAUUAGUGGCAUCAACAAACAGUAUUAGAAUAUUUUUUAGUUACAUCAUAGCAUUAGCACCAAUAAGUAGGUAUUAAUUUUAAAAAACUCAUUCAUUAUUAAAUACAUAUUAUUUCAUUACACAUAUUUAUUUUUUUAAUAAACAACAAAUAAAUAACAUUAUUAAUCAUCUUUACUACCUCAACUAAUACCAAUAAUGAUAUAGAAAUACAAUGUAUAUAGUUAUAAAAUAAAUUCAGACAUUGUAACUCUAAACUAUUUUAAACAAUAAAAAUAUAUUUAUUUACUAAAAGAUUGGUUAUGUUGUAAUUUAUUUAAUGUCAAGGGUAAUUUGCAAAUGAUUCAACUCAAAUUGAGUAUAAUUAAAUAUAAUAACAAUAAUAUAAUGUUACUAUAAAAUAACUAUAUACAAUCUUAACUUACUUCAAGUUCAACUUAACACACAUCAAGUUCAACUUAACACACGUCAAGUUCAACUUAAUAUCCAUAAGGUUUUUAUAUAUAACUAAAAAAGAUAACUUUAUAUAUUAUGUCAAAACCCUAUUAACACAUAUAUUUACAUCUAUAUAAAGCACAAAUAUGCAAACAAUACCAAAACCAUCAUAAAAUUCCAUAAGUUUUAUUACUUACCAUCAUUUGAUUUUUCCAUAUAGACAAUGUUUCUCCACACUACACUUUUUAAGCUGAUUGUUUCCUUCUUUUAAUCCAUUUUUUCAUGACUGUAAAUGAUAUUAAAAAAAUUAUAACAAUUUUAAACUUAUUUAAAUAUUUACUACAUCUCAUUAAAUGUUUGAAAAUAUUCAAUAAAUAAAACAUGAAAGAAAAAAAUAUGGAAAAAUAAAAAUAAAUGUACACUGUUUAUCCAACCACAACUUAAAGCGCUUUAAGUUGAAGAAAUCUGAAGAGAAACUGUGUGAGACUUGAAGAAAUGCAUUGAAAAGAGAGAAACGGAAUAACAGGAGAAAAUGAAAAAAAUGAGAAAGUGGAAGAAAUAAUAAAAAGGAGGUGAAUGAAGGGAAAUAAAAUUAGAAUGGGAGGGAAAAAGGAGCUGAUGUAGUUGAGGGGUAUUUUUGUCCGGAUCGGGUCAUUUUGGAGGCUAUUAAAAGUGAAGGGUUAGUUUUACAAUAUUGAGAGAUUUUUGUCCCUUUUUUCCCAAAAAUUUAUCUACUCCCAGUAGGUUCAUCUCUACAGUCUCUACUAAACUUUGCUCUUCGCUGAACCAAACCUUCAGCGUCUAUGGGUGUCUACCCAACUGUCCUAACUACACGCUUAAAUUUUGAACUUAUCACUAUUUCUCCAUGGUAUAUAAGAGUAUUCCUCCCACAUCCAUUCCACAUUAAACCACCUUUUCCCUCACUUCUCUCUGCUCUCCCUCAGUCAUAGUUGAACAAAAAUGGGAUCUGAAUCAAAGCUAGUUCAUGUGUUUUUGGUUUCCUUCCCUGGACAAGGGCAUGUCAACCCUUUGCUCAGGCUGGGGAAGCGUCUGGCUUCAAAGGGCUUGCUUGUUACCUUCUCCACUCCAGAGAGUAUCGGGAAGCAGAUGAGGAAAGCCAGUAACAUUACUGACCAGCCGACACCGGUAGGAGAAGGUCUGAUCAGGUUCGAGUUUUUCGAAGAUGAGUGGGACGAGAACGAGCCCAAGCGCCAAGAUUUGGACCUUUACUUGCCCCAGCUGGAGCUCGUGGGCAAAAAGGUUCUUCCUCAGAUGAUCAAAAAACACGCAGAGCAGGAUCGACCUGUCUCCUGCCUCAUCAACAACCCAUUUAUUCCAUGGGUUUCUGAUGUAGCAGCUGAUCUUGGAAUCCCCAGUGCCAUGCUUUGGGUUCAAUCUUGCGCUUGCUUUUCUACGUAUUACCACUACUACCAUGGCUUAGUCCCUUUUCCCUCCGAAGCUGAGCCUGAAAUCGAUGUUCAAUUGCCAUGUAUGCCUCUCUUGAAGUAUGAUGAAGUCGCUAGCUUCUUGUACCCGACCACUCCCUACCCAUUCCUGAGGAGAGCUAUCUUAGGCCAGUACAGGAACCUGGACAAGCCCUUCUGUAUAUUGAUGGACACGUUCCAAGAACUGGAACCCGAAGUCAUCGAAUACAUGUCCAAGAUCUGCCCGAUCAAGCCUGUAGGACCUUUAUACAAGAACCCUAAAGUGCCAAACGCCGCUGUCCGUGGCGACUUCAUGAAGGCCGACGACUGCAUCGAGUGGCUCGACUCCAAGCGUCCCUCCUCCAUCGUCUACGUCUCUUUUGGAAGCGUCGUGUAC